rnacentral:lncRNA from 1 species
AGACAAGAAAGCAGUUGAGAAAGGAAGUGCGAGAGGGGUUUCUCUGUAGUUGUCAAGCAAUUGAUCCCCAAGGACCUUUCUCGUACGUAUACCCAAUCUCAUCGUGUACCACGACUAUUCAUGAAAAAUCUAUAUAAAUAUUGUGGUGCACUUUGACAGAGCUUACAGAAACCCGAAUUGAGGCCAAUUCGCUUGUUGACACCUACGCCCAUCUUUAUUUCUGUCCAAUAUUUGUGCUUCCAAAAGAUCAGCCCUCGUAGAUUUCACAAGGUUCUAGAGAAAGCUAAAUUUUUGUACACUCAGAAAAAACCUUAUUGGAAAAUCGGUGUGAGAAACAUCUUUUAAAUGUGCAAAGACUAAGAGUGCCCUGGCCACAAAAAGAGAGAGAGAGAGAGGACUAUCGCCAUUGUUAUUCAUGCAAAUUUAAGGGAGUAUUUUCUUUUUCUAAUUUUUGAACAUUGCCAAAACAACUAAGGUCUAAUAAUAACAUGACCAUUAUGCUACACUUUCAAGUUGUAAUAUAAUCCAUUCAUCAGUGUGUAUCACGGGCUACUGCUAGUUUCUAAGCAGUCAUGUGGUACGACUCUUGCUAUAAAAGUUAAGGAAAAAUGAACUUCCCGUGGUGGGGGAGGAUCGAUCCUUAGACAGGACCAGGGAAGAUGGAACGGAUAAAAGAAGAAAAAUUUGUAGGUGACUUACCAAGAAACUUGACGAAAGGUUCAAGUGAAGAACGGGCAAGGGGAUGAUCCCACUCCAGUGACUCCCACAUCUGCUGAUUUAUCCGAAUCUCUCGAAGAGAAGGGGGAGGCCCAUUGUCAAGCAGGGGCAGCUGCAGAGGAAUCCUCUUCAGUUUUGGACAAUUAUCUAUAGAAAUCUGCCGGAGGGUAUCCCAACUCGUGGUCCCAUCACAUAUGCUCUUCAGCUCCGGAAGAUUCCGUAGACCCAGGUUCAUUAUCUUUGGGAAGGAACGGUGCGUCAUUUCGGCAACAGUGCCUAUUAUCACCUCUAUGCCCUUGCAGUCUUUGACUAAUAUCUUUGGAGGAAAGGGAGGUGGAGCAACAUGUCUUCCGUCAGCAGCUCCCUCUUUAUGUGUUGCAUCCAAUUACUUCAAGAUACGUAAGGCGACAAGUGGCUCUGCUUGGCAAUGGCCCAUGUAUUAUCUCCUCUAACUUCUCACAACUAUGUACAAUAAUUUUCUCCAGAUUUGGAAGGAGCGUGGUCAGCCACUCCCAUUCCACCACUCUCUUAAUUUUAUGACACCUGGACAAUUCCAAUGAUUGCACACUUUCCGGAAGCAGAGCGCAGCCAUCACCGCUUGUUCCGUCUACACUCGCAGCGAUAUGGUCCCAACCAUCGAUGAGUAUAGACCUAUCAGGAUCAUCCACAAGCCAAAGGUUGUAAGCGUUUGGUGUCGCGAGCGUGUACUGUCGGCAACUAUUUUGCAUGAGAGACCCCACACAUGCAUUGAAUGUUUCCACAUCAGCAACAGAACAAUAAAGUGCCUCCAACUUUGUUGAUUUUACCUCUUCUCCUGCCCUCAGCUUUUCAAUCGUAAGAUAUUGCAAGUUCACCAGCUUCUCCAACACUCCCUUAGGUAAUGUCUUGAUCAUUGUGCCAUCUAGGGCGAGGUAUCUUAGGUUUACCAACAUCUCCAUGCCAUCUGGUGCUUCUUCAAGACUUUGAGACCCUUGAAGGUCCAACUUUCUUAGAGAUCCCAACUUUCCUACAGAAGGAAUAAAACGUAAUGCCAAACAACUUGGCAGUAAUAGUGCUUCCAAGCUCUCCAACUGAGAGAUGGAGUUUGGUAAUUCCGUGAUUCCAGUGUAGCAAAGAUCUAGAACCGUCAACCCCUUUAGAUGUCUGAAGAAAGAUUCAUGGAUGACUCCCAACAUGUCAUUGCCAUUCAAAUACAGGCUCGUCAGUUUAGGGCAAUUUGGUGAUAUGCCAUCUGGGAUUUCUUCUAUAUUGUUUCCUUGUAAAAAGACUUUCUCUAGAUGAUCAUUCCAGAAUACUUCCUCCGGUAUUUCUUUCAACCCCAUAUAGGCCUUAACCAUGUGAGUUGUGCUCGUCACCAUAUGCAAUGCCAUGUCCCUUGUCAAAGGGUGCAGACACCGAUACUCUAUGUUUGGAUCCAACAGGCAGGACCCUCUUAUUUUAUCCAAUAUGGUGUUACCCCGAUCGUGCAGUCCUUGCUUGGUGGCAAUUCCACCUAACAAACCCUCAUCAAUGAAAGACUCUAUCAAAUCCUCCUCUCCACUAGCUCCUGAAAGGACAAGUGCUUCUCCAAAACGAAGUAUUAGAUGCAGGAAACACUGUUGCACUUGACCAUUACCCAAGUUCACGUAACUGAGUUGCAGUCUCUUGAACACAUCUAGCUCCAUCUUGGAGUCUUCUAAUUUUCCCAACAUGUCUCUCCAUUCAUGCACUUUCUCUACUCCUCUCAAGCGAGUUGCAAUCUCAAUGAUCGCAAGUGGCAGACCAUAGCACCUAUCAAGAAGAGAACUUGCAAUCUGUUCAACUUCCCAAGGGAGUUGUCCUACAAAGCAAAGCGUCUUUGAAAAUAACCACCCAGAAUCAUUCAUAUCGAGAAGUCCUAUCUUGAUUUGCUUUUGACAGAGCAUCAUACGACACACCUCUAGUGAUCGAGUUGUCACUACCAACUUUAGUUUGCCCGUUUCAACCGGAAUUCCCACCUCCUUAACUUCAAAAUGCAUCCAAAGCCCAUCUAAAAUUAGGAUGGAGCUAUUCUUCAUAUUCAGAUGUCCAUACAAUAGGCCUGCCCUUCUCCUCACGUCCUUCUCAUUCAAGAGAUUGUCUAGUCCGACCGCAUUGGCAAUCUCUUCUUGUAGCGCAUACACACUAAAAUCUUGCGGUACAGCAACCCAGAAUACAUCUGAAUCAAGAUCCUCAAGUAGUCUAUUAUAGACAUGGGUCAAAAUGGCCGUCUUGCCCACUCCACCCAUACCGUAAACACCAAUUCUGGAAAAGUUGUCCUGCUUUAAAUUGGAAAAAAUCUCAUUCACCUUCAAUUGAGUCUCUUUGCCUACCAAUUCUGUUGUCACCAAGGGAGACGUUUUGCUGCGUCUAACAAGUGUCGUCGCCUCUUGCCAAAAUCUUCCUGGAGCUAGAAGAACUUCUUUGAACAACUCUACCACCUCAGCUACUUUCUCCGGUGGAACAGAUCCUUCUCUGAUCGCCCGCACUACCCUCCAGUAUUCUUCUUCCAUCCACUUCGAAUUUAGCUUGCUCAUGUCCCCUUGGCCACUACUGAUGAGUUCUUCCAGCUUACUUUCGAGAAAUGUCAUAUUCCUUUGGCAAGCCUACGGGUACCUUGUUGACUCUCAGCUGAUGCAACCUGUGUUCUCGCACCUAAACUCAAGUAUAAAUGAAAAUUCACUCAUAGGUACUUCUUAGACAUAGUUAAUAGAUAUGCUACACUCACAGAAACAUAUAAUUCGUAGCAUUGUAUUCGCUUUUUCAACACAACAUCCCAUAUAAUAAUCACUAUGUUAUGUAGGCAUGCAUGUCACAAUAGUGAAAUAUUGGCGACCACAUAUCAUGAGCUCUCCAUUGGGGGCCAAAAAAAAAACUAUUUGAGAUUAAAAGUCAUAGGAAUUCGAAAAUGGAUACGUUGCUCCUGGCAUUUCCCUUAUAUCCCACGAAAGGGAAAACAGAUAAGUUUCGAUUGACUCGGUACCACAAGGAAGACCUUGGAAAAUUUCUUAUUUUGAAAAUAGGGGAAACAAUUUUCAAACUUUGCUCUUCAGAUUGAAAGCUAUAGUUUGCUUCCAUGUUAAAAACGAAUGCUCUGUGUAGGUGGUCUGAGGGGAUAGAGAGAGCCAUUGCUUCUCAAGAUUUGAAUGUCACACUUAGAAGCAUUGUUCUGUAUUUCAAAAAUCUAUAAAUUACCAGCGACCAACUCUUAAGCUCCUCUCUUCCUAUUAGUUCCAGUUUAUUUCGUGUAUUUCUAUGACCAGUGGAAAUCUGAGGCCCUGCCUAUAUCCCUAUUAAUAGGUGAAGGAGCUUUAACAAAAGGGGAAUUUGGAGAUGCACCUACCUUGCAGAACCUCUGCAUCGGGUGCUCCCUCUUCUGCACUCAGUGGGUGUGGCAUGUUAGUCAAAUCAGGACGAGACUAAUUUAAUGCUUUGUAUGAUAGCAACAGCAUAACCACUUAAAAACAUUUGUCUGCUCAUUUUCAAAUAUCUAGUGAUUAUCAAUGACUAGCUCUAAGACUCCUCUCUUCCUAUUAAUUCCUGACUAUUUUCUGUUUCUCUAUGACCAUAAGAAAUCCGAGCAUCCUCCUGCCUAUAUCCCUAUCCUCAGGUGAAGACUAGAAGACAAAUCAAGCGACCUGCACGAGCUUUAACUCAGGGCAAAUUAAGAGAUGCACACGUACCGUGUGGAACCUCCCGUAAUGGGCUCUCCCUCUUCUGCAUUCAGAGGGCGUGGCAUGUUGGUUAAAGCAGGAAGAGACCGACUGGGCAGAUCCAUCAAAGGCAAUGGAAGAGAGGCUGAUGAACCUGCAGCAUAGUUAUUAUACUUUGAAUUAAAGCUUUACUUACAUGAUAGCAAUACACAUAGACACCUCUCUCUCUCUCUCUCUCUCUCUCUCUCUCUCUCUCUCUCUAGUUAUUCAAUUUGGUUGAUUUCUUUCGACGUCAACCAAUUCUAAAAAUGGACGGUAAACAAUCUAGUUUGCACGCAUCAAGAAUGCCUCAACCAAUGGCUUCCAAAGCUAGUUAGAGUUGAAAUUUGCCAUGUGGUUCAGACAAAGGAUCUAGAACGCCUCUGACCAAGCACUUGACUGAUGCUAAUUAUGUAAACUUAUCGUCGACAAACUUUGCUCACCGGAAACAUUAACCAUCUCAGGUGAUAGAGAACGCCUUCCACAAAAAAGCUCCAGAAACAAAGACCAGACACGAUCAUUGCUUAUUUUCUGUUCCAUAUUGGCCGAUUAAACGAUUGAAGCGUUUUAAGUUUCUCAAAGAUAUAGAAGAUCUGGCAAUUUCAAGUAGAUUGCACGCUUAAAAUCCUACAAUAGAGCGUCACGAGUUGCCACAGAGUAUUCGGACAGGCCACUGCAUUGCAUAACGUGGGUAAAAGAUGAACGUACCAGGAGGAGGACUGGAGCUUCGGUCCAGUUGCUAAUCUCUGGUGUCGAUUUGGUUCUUCAGCCCCUGAUCACACCAAAAUAUUCAUGGCCGGGGUUCAACUCGAUCUCCCUCUUGAUCUCGAUAACAUUCCCAUGGAAAUUUGAAGCGGUGUGAUCCGGCGAGAGAUGAGAGAAGAAAAUAGGAAAGACGAGAGAUGAAUCCACCCAAAAGUAAAGAAAACCCUAGAAACCAAAGGCUAUGUUUGGUCGUUCGGAUUUAUAAUCGAAAUAAGAUUAGAUAAGAUAUGAUACGAAAUUCCGGAAUUUUAUAUCUUAUCAAUUGUUUUAUGAAUCACAGUAUUAAAAUCGGAUAUAUUCCAUCAUAUAUAUAUAAAUGGCAUAUCAUUAUAAAUAAACAUAAAUAUUCAUAAACAGAGAUUGUGAAAAUCUCAUGUAACACUAUUCCUUAAUUUAUUUUUAUUUUAUUUUUAUUUUGUUUUUCCUCUUUUUUAUAUUAUUUUUGUAUUAUUUCUUUUUUUCCCUUUCAUCAUUCUUUAAUAAAAUUUUAUCAAGUAGUAAAUUGUACUAACAUACCUAAAAUAAAAAAAUUUUAAAACCUAAAAUAUAUAAUAAAUAUAAAUAUUUAAUUUAUAGAUUGAAUGUUUAUUAUAAAAUAGAAUUAAAGUUGAAUAUAUAAAUUAAAAUAAGAUUAAUUAAAAAUAUAAAUAUUUUUAAUUUUUAAUUUCUUAAAUUAUAAUUCAUAUAUUAUUUAUAUUGAAACAUAAUUUCAAUUUUGUUAAUUUAAUAAUUUUGCUAUUCGAGAAAAAUAACUUUCCUAUUAUAGAUGUUAGAAAUCAUAUCCACAUUUAUCCUAUCUAUAAGAUAAUUUUAUCAUACCUAUAUUUUUUUUAUAUCCGACUUUAUCCUAUUCUGAGUAAGCACCAAGCGAAGGGUAAGAUAAAUCAUAUCCUAUUUCGAAUUUUAUCCCGACUGCCAAACGCAGCUAGAAUACCCUCGAUUGUGCCCCCUCUACGUUCGAUGCUCGGCAAAUCUGCACCGUUCGUUUUCAAACAAGCAAAGACCAUCGUUGGAUUACGUAAGGGGGAUAACAACUCGAAACCAGUUACAUUCUCGAUAAAUCAAUUUAUUUGCGUUUAAAAGUUCCCCCGGAAAUUAUUGAUUUGCCAUCUCCUUGCCGCCCCCCUCCCCCCAGCGGGGGAAAUUAUUAAUUUAUUCGCGAUGGGGAAAAGUUAAUUGGUAGGAUAAUAGGAUAUAUCCCAAAUUAACAUGUCCUAAGGCCACUCACUAAUUUCGGAUAGAUUUUUAAAUUCUUUUUUAUGUGGCGAGAUUAACUGUCCUAGAAAACUAUCUUUCUUAAUCCCUGAAGUUACCGGCAAUUAUUGCAAACUUACUUCUCAAUUUACGUAGGAGCUUAUUUUUUCUGCAUGAAAUGUUACUACUGAUGUAUUGAAAAAACUAACAAUUUCAUAAUUACUUAAUUUGGAUAUCGAAGUUUCGAUAUUUAUCAUAGGGAAGUAGCGUUACUGCGAUCCUCUCGAUGCGUAAAAAUGGCGAAUGUUCCUCCGAGGCGAGUUAAUGGUAUUUAGCUUACCUCGUCUAUUGUUAUUUGAAUUUAUUGAUUUAUAACUAAUUACCUUGUAGGCCGAACCAAAGCCGCUCGCCCCGAGCUUGUUUGUCUGAGAGAGAUGGUUGGUGGCAAUAGCAAUAGUGGCGAAAUCAUAUAAUGGCAAGUCAACGUCAUCUGUGCCACUUGGCAAGCCUACAAGGCAUGUAAACUAGUUUCUAACCAUACCAUAAUGUCAAAAAGAAAAGAUCAAUCCGGAAUUUGAUUACAUGAUGUAAAAGAAAGGUAUUUAGCUCACCUCGUCUUUUCAUUCUUCUCUUCCAGAUUAUGCCCAACACCAUGCCCACUAAAAGCAAUCCUGAAAUGGCUGAAGCCACUAUGAUAGUCACCAAUUUCUUGGAUGGACUGCGGAUUGAAUCUAGCAUAUUGGAAAAAGCGAAGUAACUAAUUUCAGAGAAUUCAUCUGUAAGCUGAAGAAUCUUUCUCCGUUAGAGGACCUUGAACAUGAGAAAUAAAUAGCAAGGAACAAAACGGUAGUUUAGUCCGGCAUUAAUAGAGGACAUAUCGAUGAAAUGAAAGAUUAGAACAAAGAAGAAAAAAUAAAUUGCUGGAUCAAUUAGCUGAUGCAGACACGAUAUCUGUAUUUACCUAAUUCAGAAGCAGGGAGCCUAGGAAGAGAUAUUGCCCAUUGACACCCAUGUCAAUUUCCUUAAUAUCAAUGAGAUCACCAAACCACAUCAAGCAGCCCGCUCCUCUAAGAUCGGAAUUAGCAUAACCCGUGCAAGAACAAUUCUUUAGACACUCAAUCUUACACUCCUCAUGGCUUAAGUUCUUGAACAGCUGGAAAUCUACCAGGUCAGGUAAUUUCACCUGCGAAAGCUUCAUAAAAUCCCUACGGGAACAAUUCAACGGAAUUCUCCUUCUGCACCCAUAUGUUGAAUUAGGCACGUCCCUCUCUUCUUGUGACUUGGGCGUAAAACCCUGCAAGCAGAGGCAUCUUGGGCUUUGGUUAAUUCUGCACACGCCAUUUUUGCCACACUGUCCAUAGGUGUCACACGGGUCAUGAGGGAGCGAGUACAUCAGAUACCACUCCGUGCUUCCACUCUUCAAUAGAUGACACUGCGUAAAACCAUCCGGGCUUAAUAUGACUUUGGCAGUGCUAUCAUCCUUUAAGGUUUCAAACGCAAAACAGGCAUCCGUUGUGUUGUAAACAAAGAUGGGGUUAAUAAUGGUAUUCCCCUCCAUGAAAAGACCGCCAAAUUCAACUCCAUCCCAUGGCCCAGCUCGAUAUACUUUGACAGAAUCCUUUCUGACUAUUUCAAGUUGGGGUAACCUGUCAAUUUUGUAUCUGUAUGUAUAGUCUCCAGGGGAAGGAUCGUCCGUGCUUCUCCAGGAAGUCAGAUGAUGUUCCAAACCAGUUCUAACGUUCCAUCCUGCGGUCAUACCGACCAAAAGCGUGUUUGAUGGGUGGUCAAAUCUCUGCCACGAAUAAUCAACAGAGCCUAAAUUGUUGCUUUCCCUAAGCAUGAGGUUACCGCAAUCAAGGAGCUGUGCAACUGGAUUACCGAGAACCUUGGUUGAAUUCGUUGACCAAAUGACACUCUUUGAUUGGUUGAGAAGAACAAGUUCACCUGCAUUGCUCAUUUCGAGAGUGCCAUUUGAAUCAAUGAGUGGAUUGUUCCUGUUAGUAACCCAAACGACCGUUUCAGGACUCACCACAAACCAUAUCCCCGGGAAGCUAUUCUUUGAACUUCCAGCAGAGAAGAAACCGAGCUUAAAUUUUCGGCCCUGGGAAACUAAUGUCUCUCCCUCUUUAAUUGCACUGAACUCAGGGUAUCACCUGCGCUUGAUAGAUGCAACAAUGACAGAACGACGAUGGAAGUACAAAAGGAGCUGAAGAUAGGAGGAUCUGCCAUUGCAAACCCUUCUGUUUGAUCUACGAGAUGAAGCAAAUAACUGGAUAAAGAUUCGAACAUUUCAGAAUAGCAUAUCAGGAUAAGAUAUAGAAUACAGAUACCUUUGUCUGGGGCAGAGAUAGUUCUAGGACUUACUGGUUAGAUUGAGUUGGGCCACGCAAGAAGACCAGCCUCUCAAAUAUUCGUGGAUCAGUCUCCAAUCUUCCUGUAAUUGUCAAGGAUCAAAUUUAGAUGAUUCGAAUCGGUGAAAAGGUGAGUUUUAUUAGCAUGCCACUUCACGUUUUCUGUUUUGCAGCCAUUGUCACCAUCCUUGUUGCACCAGUCCAAGCUCGCGUUCGACCAAAUGAAGUGGAAAGUUGUUACACAGUCCCACCAGGUGGAGAUACACCUCGGGUAGCCUCCAUCCCGUGAAGGUUCCUAAUCUCAAGCCCUUUACGACUUUGACUCGAUCCGUUUGGUCUUCUUCUCUGCGUGGCAUGUUAAUUGACCAAAUUUUUCGCCCUCACAUCUCUUCAAAUUUCUCUAAGUGUUGAUUUCGAGAAGUAUUCAAUAGAGUCCUACUCAGAUAAUGCUAAUACAAAUGGAUUUGAUGUGUUGUAUCUUUGGAGGUAUAAUUCAUAAAGUUGCUUAUCACCGGUGGCAGGAAAUAAUCGUCUUAAGGAGACUUCAUCUUCAAUUAUUAUUUCUUUUUUUAUCACUUCUCGAAUUCGUAAAUUUUUUUGUUACAACAAACAGAGUUACAUAUUUUUCCCCCGGUUCAUUAUUUCUUCUUCUUCUCUAUAUCUUCCAACACUUAAUUCUUGCUACUUCUCCUUCUCCAAGUUCUCCAAGUUCUCCAUGUUCCACUUUAUUCACUUGGUUUAUGGCAGCAACUUUGCAUUAUUUGGACAUUAAAAGGUAAAGACCCCUACUCACGGACCACUUUUCACUUUGGCCGCGUUCACGUGUCAUUCUUUCCAGCUAAAUCAUAAGUUAAUCCAACGUCAGAUGGAAGUCAGACACUUUGUUAUGAACAUGACACGUUUGUCUCUAUAGAAAACAUCAUUCCUGGUCAAGGAUGACUCGGGGUCAGCCAUGAACGACAUGAGAAGUUACCAUUAGCGUAAGGUUUGGGUGAACUUUCUCGGGGGUCGUUUUAACCCACCAAACGGGUUUGACGGUUUGGCAAAAAGCAUUAAGAGCAGCAGCCGCCAUUAUUGGGUGCCGCGACACAGCAUAUAAAGGGGUAAGAAGGGGAAAAAACACGGAAAAUGAUUUAUAAGAUUUUUUUUUUUAUUAUGUUUUAACCAUAUGUUUUAACCGUUCAUCUGAAAUAUAAUUGUUAGUGAAGGACCAUAGACCCACUUCUAUAGUUCCAUCCACUAUGAAUUCCACAGAACAAUGCUUGAGUUGGCCCGGAGCUAUCAGGGUAGAAGCAAAGGCCCUUUCUUUCACCUUUAGAUCUACAAUCAUUGUCCAAAACGGGAAACAAAUUUUGUGGGAUGCCCACUUUAGGAUUUUCAUAUGAUUACUUGAACUAUUCUUGUUAUUUUAAUGUUGUACUUCGAUUGCAUAUUACCAGUGUUUUAGGAAAAGGUCCAUGCAAACAAUCUUGGAACAUUUUUGUUGACGUUUCAAUUUGACCUUGUACAUGCACACAUAUAGCACACGAGUAUGGACCGGAAAUGCUAAAAAAGACGUGCGCAUGCAAUGCGUAUGUGGCGUCAAUUAAUAUCUUCUUCAUGUUACUUCUUUUUUUUUAAAUUACCAUUUUGGGGUGAAAUUACUUUGUUUUGCUCCAUCCGUUGGUUACUGCAAUUCGGGUAUAUUAUUUUUUGCAAUCAGAUUUUGAAAUAUAGUAACUUGGAAUAAACUAUCACGGAUCUAAGGUGUCCAAUCCUAGUCACAAGGUCCGAAAGACAUUUUGGACUGGUUUGAGUAAGAGCACUGGGUGAAAUAGCCUAACAAAGACCGAUCAAGCCCUAGUCCAAACCUAGCCCGGUCUGACCGGAAGAUUUGCAUAUAAAAGUUUUAUGAUGGAUAGGCUGGGCAAAAAUUCAAGACAAACCUUAAUACCCAUCCCAGCUUAGGCCCAACAAUGAUAACCUCUAACUUGAAAAUGAAAUUAGCGUUGUUUGAAAGGUUUAUCGAUUUAUAUAUAAUCGACAAUCAUCAAGAAAAUAAUUUUAUGUAAAGUAAAUUUAUUUGACUUUUCUUAGCUUCCACUUUUAAGUGGCUCUUCCCGUGUUUGAUAUGGAAAUCAUGCUUUUAAGAGAAAUGAUGACACUUAUUUACCAGUUCGAGUAACUUCACCGGCAAAAAUUUCGUAAAAACUCUAUUAUAUUAAGAAAGUCCAGCUCUUCUUGUGGCUUAGCCAUAAAACCCUACAAGCAGAGGCCCACACCGCAAGGACCUUGCUAAACCAAAUAUGUAUACAAAAUCUCACGGAAAACCUAGUAAUCUACCGCAAUAUCGAAGUAUCAACCCUUAUGGCAUAAAAUGUCUACCGGCCCUCUAGCAUAGUUAGAGUGACUACAUUUUGCGUAUGUGAGCCUCUAUUUGAUGAAGACCCAUCAGAAUACUUUAAGUUUCUUUCCAUGAAGAAACCGGGCUCUUUAGGAUCAAGCAGGACCGAAGCACAAUUACGUAUCAUACAUAUUGCGGAUGACAUAGUCGGCCUAUCUUCAGGGAACUUUUGGACACACAACAAACCCACUUGAAUGCAUCUUUCCACUUGGAUUCUGUCAAAUGAGCUGUGCAAGCAUUCCUGCGUCAUCUCCAAGGCCCUACCUUGACUCCAAAGCAACCACGCCUGAAGAAAAAUUGGGAACUCGUGUGCUUGGUCAUUGAGAAUUCACCAUGAAUGACCGUGUAAAAGAUUAGAGAGAGAUGGAAUGCAAGUGUUAGCAGUGCCCAUUUACUUACAUGUCCGAGAAGGUUGUGGUGAUGGCUUGGAUGGGAAAAUCCUCUAUUCCUUUUGCCACCUAUUAUCUCCAACAGGAGCACUCCAAAGCUAUAUAUGUCUGACUUCAAAGAGAAUUGCCCAUCUAUAGCAUACUCAGGGGCCAUGUAACCACUGCAUUUCGCAUAAACAAGAAUUUCAGGCUGUGGUCCCCUCAUAAUAAUGAGUGCUUCGUGUCAAGAACCAAAAGAAAUGACUUACUAAGUUCCAAUAACUCUUUUUGUUCUCGCUUUUGUUUCAUUAGCUCCAAAGAUUCUUGCCAAGCCAAAGUCGGAUAUUUUAGGGUUGAGGUCACCAUCUAGUAAUAUGUUGCUUACUUUAAGAUCUCGGUGGAUUACUUGAAGUUUGGAAUCAUGAUGGAGAUAGAGAAGUCCUCUUGCAAUACCGACAACAAUGUCAAACCGUCUUUGCCAUCUCAACAACAGGCUCUUUUCUUGAUCUGUGAACAAUUCAAAAAUCGCAUGGUAAACCACCACAAAUAACUGAUGAAAAGUGCUAAAUUAGAUCAAUAUCACUAUAAAAGAGUUUCAUUCAAUCGAUGGGGAAUUAAAAAGCGAAAUUGUCUGACCAAAUAUGAAGUAAUCCAAGCUCUUGUUGGCCAUGUACUCGUAAAGCAAGAUUCUCUCCUCUCCCUCGAUGCAACAUCCUAGAAGUCCGACAAGAUUCCGGUGUUGGAGUCGCGCAAUCAAGAGUACUUCAUUUUUGAACUCUUCAAGACCUUGCCGCGAACUCUUUGAUAGCCUCUUGACUGUACUAACUGUCCUUUCUGAAGAUUUCCCUACAAAAAGGCAGCAUCUUUGUUUUAUGCAUCACUGGUUCCUAUUCUAUUAGUAUUAGAUUAGUAUUAGUUAGUAAUCCCAGCUCAAUAAGGUGUGGAAUGAUAUACAUAAAACUUUGUACCUUAUAAACAACACCGAAGCCACCAGCCCCAAUCAUAUUGUCAUCAGAGAAAUUGUCUGUGGCACUUUCAAUGGUGGCCAAAUCAUAUAAUGGUAAAUCAAUGUCUUCAUUUGUGAUUACAAGACCUAGUAAAAUAGUAUGCAUUGAUUUGCAUUAGCAUAGGAUUACGAUAACUAAAUAGAGCGCCUAUCAAACCAAUUGAAGCAAUGCUACUUUGAGUUCAUGGCGAAAUCUUCCCUGAUCGAAGACCAGGCUUACCUCCAUUCCCGAUUCUCCUUUUCCUAUGCUUUACACCCCAUAAUUUAGUUCCGACCGAAAGCAAUCCACCAAUGAUUGAGCUCAAUAUGACAGCUACUAAUAUUAUUUUCCUCCUGGUGCGGCCACGAAUGGCAUCUAAAGUAAAAAAAGAAUUAGGAAGAUUAGCUAUUUCCGAACCUCUCGUGCCCAAAGAACAAAGUAUUUCAAUAAUUUAGCAGGAAAAAAAAGUCAAUUAGAAUAAGUAUGAAUACCUAGUUCAGAAGCUGAUAGGCGUACAUAUAGAGUUUGCACGUAGUUCCCUUUUUCGAGCACUCUCAUGUCGAUCAAGUCCCCAAACCACAUCAGACAGCCACUGCCUCCUCCUCUGAUGUCUGAAUUAGAAUAAUCUGUGCACAAACAGUUCUUCAAGCACUUGUCCUUGCAUUCCUUGAGGUUCAUACUCCUGUUCAGCGUUACCUCCAACACGUCGGGCAGUUUAACUUUUUUAAUUUUCCAAAACCCCUCUCCUUUUGAGCAAUUUGUGGGUACUGUCCUCUUGCAUCCACUGGAAUAAUCACGGACUGCCCAUUCAUCAGGAGACUUAGGCAUGAACCCUUUCACACAUUCACACGAGCUACCGCUGCAGAUGGCAUUAGCACCGCACCUGCCGUAAGAAUCACAGAGAUCACCAGGGAACUCGAGCAUGGCAUUCCACGUGGCUCUUCUUGAUCUAUUCACCACAAAAACCUGCAGCACUCCCAAAUAGUUUAAUUUCAUUCUCGAGAAAAGUUGACUGUUUUGAACCUCAAACAUGAAGGAGAUCUCAGUUUCAUUGUCCAUAAAUAUGGGCACUUUAGCUGGAUUUGGGAUAGAGGGAACGCCGACAAAUUGGACUCCGUUCCAUUGCCCUGUUCGAAAUGUUUUUCUAUGCACAUCCACUUGGACUAUUUCAUACUGAGGUAGACCCUGAUUGUAGCUUAACCCAUGGACAUAAUCUCCCGAAGAAGGGCCGUCCAUGCUUUUCCAUGCAGUGAGAUGCCGUUCGAAACCCGUUUUCAGGUUCAACACCAGCUUCAUGCCCGCUAAAAGUGUGUCAGAUGGGUAAUCGAAGCUUUGCCACGAAUAAGCUUCAUCAAAACUUGAAAUAGAAUUAUCCCGAAGAACAAGAUUUCCUGAAUCCAGGAGCCGCACAAUUGGAUUCCAAAGGACCCUAGACGAAUUCGAAGACCAGACCACACUAUUUGAGUGGUUGAGAACAACUAGAUUGCCCACAUUGCUAAAUGUGAGAACACCGUUAUGAUUGGCUAAUGGGUUGUUUCUGUUAGCAACCCACACAACUGUUUCAGGACUAAACAUGUACCAUAUUCCCAAGUAGCUCAUACUUGAGUUGCUAGGAGUAAAGAAUCCUAGUUCGAAGGUUAGGUCCAAAGAAACCAAUGUUUCUCCAUGACUAAUGGAAUGGUUAAUGCCCAAAGUAUCGGCUGCGAGUGACAUACCAAUCAAGGGGAUGAUGAUGAACAUGGAGAAUGCAAUCUUUGCCAUUGUUGCAAAUGCCCUCUUCUAAGUUCUUACUCCAUUUUUAUAUGCAGAUCAUUCCAAAUUAAUUCACAACGCCAACACAAUUCGAGCGGGUCCUCGAAGCCUACACCUUUUUGUGGGUUUCCGCUUUAAGACCUAUUGGUUCCUUGCACUAGUCUGCGCGCAUAUUCCCUCGGUUCUCUGUUCUUAACUCUGACUAGUAUUUUUCACUCUCCAAGUUCUCCCAUGUUCCACGUAACCACUUUUUUAUAGCGGCUUUUUUAGAUUCCAGACGGAUAUUCAAAGCCGUAACUCAUACUCACGCACCAGUUUUCACUACGGCCAUGUUCAUACGUCGUACUUUUCCAGCUAUAUCAUUCAACAUCAGAUGAAACUCAGACAUUUUGACGAGAAAAAUCAUCAAUUCCUGGUCAAGGAUAAUCUCAGGGUCGACCAUCCCGUUUGGACUUCAUGCAAUGACACGCCAAGUUUACACUUGAGCGGCGUUUGGGUUAACUUUCCUCGCGGGUCAUUUUAACCUUCAAAUGGGUCGGAUCUUGAUAUGGCAACGAGAAUCAAAUGGCAGCAGCUACCAUUUGCGGAGGCUGUGACGUGAAAAAGGACUUACGAAGAUUGAGAUAGGAGAUUAUAUAUUAGGCUUCUUGCGCAUAUCACUCGUCCAAUGAUAAGUAUAUAAAGUGCUAACAAAACAAAACAAAACAAAAAAACAAAAAAAAAGGAAAAUCGUUUUAAGAUUUUAUUUGUGCCACAGAAAAUAUUUUCCUAUCAGGACUAUGGAGUCCGCUUUCACUUGGGGAUAUCAUCAAGAAAGAGCCUAACUUCACACAUGUUAACAUAUCUAGUUAUUCAUACAUUCACUUAAAAACUUAAGUUAAUGACUUAUGAGUCAACAAAAAUAUAAUAAUUACUUUCUACUACACCAAUUCUCCAAUAUAAGAUUUCUCUAACACAACUCACACAUAUAUCCUAACAAUAUCCCCAUCACAUAUGAGCUCAACCCUUAAUCCAAGUAUCAUUCACAUCAAGAUAUCUCAACUUAAAUAGAUUGGGGUUCCUUCAAUCUACCAUUGGCUUUGAUACUAUUAUUAGGAGAGGGCGGCAAAAAUCUAAUACCAUUCGCUUGGGAAGAUCGCCAAGAAGAAAUCCAAGUCCGAACAUGUUAACAUAUUUAAUUGGACACACCAUCACUCAAAAGCUUUAACUAAUGAAUUCUAGACUAACUAUGACAUAUUAACUACUAUGCACUACACCAAUCUCCCACAUGAGAUUUCUUUAACACAAUUCACGUAUGCACCCUAACAUUUUCGGGACAACAUUUUUCUCAUUUUUGGGCGUUUGAUUCGCUUAAGAAAAUGAGUCAACGGAACUUAUUCUUAAAUUCAAGAAAAUAAUUUCCUUUUUAAAAUAUUGAAAAAUUAUUUUCCAAAAUAUGACUAGGUAUUUGUGUUUAGAUCCAAAACUCUAUGCUUUGGCAUGGAAACUCCAAUGCUGAUUCUUGGUUCACCAACAUCCAAGGUCAGGUCUCCAAUGCCCAAGCUCGGGACCUUCAUGCCCGUGCCCAAAUCCCCUAUGCUUGCAUUUGUGUCCAUCAAGGUUCAGCCAGAGAUCCUGGCACCAAUGCCUGGAUCCAUCGAGACUAGGCUCAAAACUCGAAUGCCUAGGCCCAAUACCCGACACCUAGGCCCAGGUCCAUAGUGGCCAAGGACAAGAUACCAAUACCUGAGGUAGAAUUCCCAACACCUAACCUUGGGUCCACAAAGGCUGUCCUAGGGACCAUCAAGGCCAAAUUUGGGAUCCCAAUGCCCGCGCUUAGGUUUAUCAAGGCUGCGCCCGAGACCCAGAUGUCUGCAUCAAGGUCCAUUAAGGCCAAACGUGGGACUGUAGUGCCCGCAUUUGGUUCAUCAACUACCCAAGCACAAGCUGUUAGUGUUGAAAUAGUAUACGGUUAUUUAGGAAAAUUAAAUGCAAUUUUCAUUCUAAACAGUGGAGAAUAUUUUCCUAUUCAUUUUUCAAGAUUUACCCGAACACCGCAAAAUAUUGUCAUUUUCUAGAAAAAUGACUUCAUGAAAAAUAUUUUCCAAAAAUGUCACAUUUUUCACAAAAUAAACGAAACCUAAUAUUAUAAUUUUUUUAUAUUCAAUCUGCAUAAACGAGAAAACUUUGAUAUUCAUUUCGAAGGGAUCUAUCAUUUAAUAAUUAUAGUUUUAGACAUAAAUAUAGGCAAUUAUAAUAAAGACUGACUAACCAUCCAAAUCAAUAAUCAUGAACGUUCAUACAUUGGAUUUUAUACCAACCACACAAAUCAAGAAGUCUUGGACAAUGAUGAAAUAAAUUAUCAAUGGCAUUUCUUGGAUCUAUAAGCAAUUACUCAGAAAAACGUACUAUCGACCAUCCAACCUCGUCACCGUGACUACAUUGACAGAAUGAAGUUCUUCAUGCAUCCGGGUUGUGCUUAAGUCCAUUGAACUUCUUUCCAUAAAGAAACCAGGAUGUUUAGGUGGAGGCAAGCUUGCACUUUCAUUUCCUAACAUGGCAACUGCAGAGGACAUCGCUGGUCUAUCAUUGGGGAACUUCUGCACGCAUAACAAGCCGACAUGGAUACAUCUUUUUACUUGAGGUUCAACCGAAUCACACAAGCACUCAUCAGCGAGUUCCAUGGCUCUGUCUUCACUCCAAAGCAACCAUGCCUGAAAAAAAUCACAUCCCGAGCUUAGUCAUGCAAGACCAAAAACAGGAGAUAAGGGAGAGAGAAUGACAUACGCUCUGGCUCUUUCUCUUACAUGUCCAAGAAGGUUAUGAUGAUGAUUUGGGUGGCAGAAUCCUCUGUUUCUUUUGCCACUUACAAUCUCUAACAACAUCACACCAAAGCUAAAGACAUCAGAUUUCACAGAGAAUUUUCCAUCGAAGGCGUACUCAGGGGACAUAUAGCCACUGUAAUGACAAAGUGAUUGUUAUUAGUCUUCUAACAUAGCAAGCAGUCCUAUUUAGAAAUGUUCUGAAAAGGCGAGUUCUUACUAAGUUCCUAUGAUUCUCUCUGUCUUUGCUUCUUUCUCAUCACGUGCGAAAAUUCUUGCUAACCCAAAGUCUGAGAUUCUUGGGCUUAAGCUGCCAUCCAACAAUAUGUUGCUAGCUUUGAGAUCCCGGUGAAUUACUUGAAGUUUAGAAUCAUGGUGGAGAUAGAGAAGACCUCUUGCAAUCCCAACGAUAAUGUCAAAUCUUUUUUCCCAGUCUAACAAUAAGCAUCUUUCACGAUCUGCAUAUGUGACGUCGGUUUAGUCAACCAGAUGGGAUUAAGUUCAGUGCACAGAUAGCAUCAUCGUCCACCAGUAACAUCUUUCAUUAAAGGGUUUAGAGACCUCACCAAAGAUAAAACAAUCCAAGCUCUUGUUUUGCAUGUACUCAUAGACCAAAAUCCUUUCCUCCCUCUCCAUGCAACAACCUAGAAGCCCCACAAGAUUCCGGUGUUGAAGUUUGGCUAUCAGAAUCGUUUCGUUUUUGAACUCUUCAAGACCUUGUCCUGAGUUUCUUGACAGUCUCUUCACUGCUACUUCUUGUCCUGUGAAAAGAUUGCCCUGCAUAUUGCGGUUAGAGUAGAUAUGUUAAACAAUGAAAUACGAUCACUCUGUUUGCAGUUAACUUCGUCUUGGAAUAUGCAUUGCUCAUUACCUUGUAAACUGGGCCAAAGCCACCAGCUCCAAUCAGACUGCCCUCAGAGAAACCAUCCGUAGCCUUAACAAUGGUAGCCAGAUCAAACAGUGGCAAAUCAACAUCUUCCUCCUUGACUUUCCAAUCUGAAAAAGACCAGUUAAUACAAAGGUCCUUGUCAAAACAUUUGUUAAUCUCACAAAAGGGCCUAAAAGUCUCUUUGUAGGUGUACAUUUAUAGAACCAGUUGCACUGACCUUUGCUCUUUAUUCGGCAAUUCCUGAUACAAUGGAAGUACACCACGGCUGAUAGAAACAAAGCAGCAAUAGCUGACACCAAUACGAGGAUGACCACCCUUUUCUUCUUGUCAGAAUUAUGAAGGAAAUCUGGGAUAGAGAAGACUGAAAAGAUUAAAUGCAAUCUUCUAUGGUGCUGUUCCUGAGUAAGCUGGUUAAAAUUUAGAAUGAUUAGAGAAAAAAGCAAUGAUUGGCAAAAUAAGUACCCAGUUCAGAUUUUGGUAGGCGGAUGUAUAGAGUUUGCCCAAGGUUAUCUUCUUCAAACUCCUUAAUGUCAAUUAGGCUUCCAAACCACAGGAUACAGCCACUACCUCCUCCUCUAACAUCUGAAUUAGCAUAAGCAGUGCAUAGACAGCUCUUUAAGCACUCCACCUGGCAUUCCUCGAGGCCCAUGCUCUUGUUCAACCAGAAAUUCAACAUGUCAGGAAGUUUAACUUUUGCAAGUUUGAGGAAGCCUUCUUCCUUCGAACAAUUUAUUGGUAUUCUUCUCGUGCAUCCACCUGACCAAUUGAGGAGAUCCCAUUCUUCCGGGGACUUUCAUACAAACCCCUUCAAGCAAUCGCAUAUUGGAUCUCUGUUAAUUCUACAGAUACUGUUGGCUCCACAAGUACCAUAAGUAUCACAUUUAUCGUUGGGUGCCGAGUACAUGUUAUUCCAGGCAUUGCUUCUUUUACUGGCAACAUAGAGCUGGACUGACCCGGAAUGGUUUACAAGUACUCUUACGAUAAAUUCACUUUUUCUGGCUACAUAUACAGAAUAUAUUUCAUUUUCACCAUAGAAGAACACUCCCCUGCCCAAUGGAGUGUGUGCGAUUGAAGAACCACAGAAUUGUAGUCCAUUCCACUGUCCUGUCCGAUAUUUCGUGCCAGAUCCUAAGCUGACGAGUUCAAAUUGAGGCAACCCAUGAAUGUUCAACCUGAAACUAUAGUCUCCAGAGGAAGGAUCAUCCAUGCUUUUCCAAGAUGUCAGACGCCUUUCUAAACCGAUUUUCAAGUCCCACCCUAAUUUCAUACUGGGUAGAUAAGUGUCGGACGGAUGAUCAAAACUUUGCCAUGAAUAGUUAUCAGAAUUUAAAUUAGUAUGCUCUCUAACAACAAGAUUCCCAGUGUCUAAGAGCUGGGCAACCGGGUUUUUCAGAACCCUGGACAAAUUCGAAGACCAGAUGACCCUCUUCAAUUGAUUGACAAGAACUAGAUCUCCCUCAUGGCUAAAUGUGAGAACUCCGUGUGAAUCAGUGAGUGGAUCGUCCCUGUUGGCAACCCAAACAACAGUUUCUGGAGUGAUCUGGUACCAUAUGCCAAAGUACCUGUUCGUAGAGUUGCCAGGAGAGAAGAAGCCAAGCUCAAAGCUUUGGCCUGAAGAGAUCAAUUUCUCUCCAUCUUUAAUGGACUGACCUGAACUUAAGGUAUCAGACGCCAUCGACAAAUUCAGCACUAACAUGGUAAAAGCAGAGUAAAAGAAGGGGGAAUAAGGAAGCUUUAAGAAUGCCAUAAGGAUUUUGUUUAUUCUUUCCUGGCUCCUCCCUCUCAAUGGCCAGUUUUAAACUCAAAGCUUCUCACCAAUGAUAUCUAGCUGAAGCCUACCUGAGGAUAUUCUUUACUUUUAUUGCAUAGUCCAUCACUAGCCAUUUCCAGUGGGAUAAGAUAUCAAACGGUCAUGGAAUGGAAGCGACCAAGUCAAGCUGUCAAGUGUUGUUGAUUAGGAGACUUGCGAUGUCUAUUUAUGCCAUGCAAGAUAGACAUCGCAAGAAAGUCAUACCCCUCUCCCCACGGCUCUAUUACAGCUACCCCUCUCCCGAGAAAAUACCCCUCUACCCACGGCUCUAUUACAGCCUACAGGACAAAGGAAGUCAUACCCCUCUCCCCACGGCUCUAUUACAGCCUACAGGACAAAGAAAGUCAUACCCCUCUCCCCAUGGCUCUAUUACAGUCUACAGGACAAAGACAGGUAAUAACUACCAAUCUUUCUCCAAGCAGGACAAACGAUGGAGUUGUUGCCCAACACUAUUUUUCAGCCCAAAAUUAUUUGGGCUGUGCUAAUUUAAGGAAGAGGUGACAACCUAUGAAGCACUGACACUUUUCGAGAGUUUUCAUAUCGUAUCGGCCACUCUGACACGUAUCCGAUACUUUCCAACACUCGAUCAACACAUGUCAAAAAAUCCGACACUUGAUCAAUUUUUCCGACACUUUGUGACACUCAAGUUGGAAUUCCGACAUGCGAGUUUCCGACAAGUGAUUCCAACAAGCGAGGUCAAUUAAUAAAUGAUGGGUCAAAAUGUACAUAUGUGAAAAAAAAAUGAAGAAAGAAAAAAAAUCUAAUAUUCUUUUCUUUUUUGAUCCUCACUUCCUGUGAUAUAUAAUUCUUUUUUUUUAGUCGAACUGUGAUAUACAAUUCAUCCCCAAGUUUUUUUUUCUCUUCUCUUUUCACAUGUCUAACACACGAGUCCAAAAUGUGAAUUGCUUAUUUUUUUCUUCAAAUUUUAUUGAUUAUUAGGAUGGAGUUGAAUUAGUCAAAUUGAAACAAUGAUUGGAUAUUAAUAAAUUGUGAAUUAAUGUUUUUAGUGUAAAUUUCAUUCUAUGCUUUUAUUAUUUAUUUAUUUAUUUAUUUGUGAAUUUGAAUCAAAUUAAUUUGAUUGAAAUAAUCAUAAAUUUGAUAAUUUAUUAUGUAUAUAUACUUAAUAUACAAUGUGUCAUAACAUGUCGAAAUUCUUUAUUUUUUUAGAAACAAUGUGUUAGCGUGUUGUGUUGUAUGUGGCGUAUUAGUGUCAGUGCUACUUAAGUGACAACGCAAGUUUGACAACUUAUGAGCAGUUAACGCUCUCCCUCUUCAUACGAUGAUGGCAUUGAGGAUGCUAAAUCUAAGCGCAUAAUACUGAAAGGCAAAAUCAUAACUACAAAUGAAGAUGCCGUCAUGUGCUCAUUAGUGAUGAUGAUGUGUAAUUUGGUAAUCAGCCGCUGAUCCUUUCCAUUGGAUGCAAUCAUAGAUCUAUUCUUGCAGGAUUGGAGUUUUACGGACUUGCCUUGUAAUGUUGACUUUAGAGAUUUUUAUGAAUCCUUUCAUGUAUCAUUUUGAUAAUAAAUGAAAAUUUUGUUGACCAACAAAAAAAAAAAAAAAAGGAAACCAGUGAGCCAUUUUGUGAUAGAAUUGAUCCCAUAGAUAUAAAGCAAUCUCAAAUUGUAAGCACAACCAAAGACUUGCUUGUCAUUUUGUUGUGGUUUCCGGAUGACCUAUGAUCGCAGACAUUUACACUGUUAUAUACAGCCGUUUCAGCUAAUUUACGUAACAUGGAAACAGAGGUAAUGGGCAAUUUACACAGGAAGAAAAAGAAGAAAUCAUUUAACUGAUCAUUCCUCUGUGGUUAAAUGGUGCAUUCCCAUGUUAUGCAAUUCAUUAUCUACUAAAGCUUGCAUAAAUCAAGAAUCAAACAAAAGUAGCCUUAGCAUGUCUCAGAUAUGUUUGUAAUUCCUUGUAAAAACCCACUCGACCUUCCAGUAUUGUCAUCAAGACUGCAUUAAUUGUAUGGACCAUGGAUUCUUCAUGUACACCAUGGCCACACUUGCACCUUCUUGAACUACUAGGCUGUUUAGGUUUAGGCAAGAUUGCACCUUCAUCUGGUUUCUUAACUGGGGAUCUACAGAGGAAAUUGCAGGUGUAUCAUCGGGGAACUUGUAGAUGUGUACAGAACUUCCUGAAUACACCUUUUCUACUUGAGAUUCGACGAAUAAAUCAUACAAAUGCCCGUAGUGCAUGAGUUAGACGCCUUUGUCAUCCAAAGCGCCUGUGCCUGAGAAAAAAAUGCAAAUUUGUAUUACUAUGCAAAAUGAGGGCAGAAAUCUUAAUCCUGCUCUCUCUUGCAUGUCAAAGAAAGUUGCCGUGGUGACUCAAAUGGUUGAAUCCUCUAUAUUUUUUGCCACUUACAGUCUCUAACAAAAGCUCUCCAAGGCUAAAUAUAUUAGAUCUCACAGAAAACAUUCCAUAGAAUUCACACUCUGGGAACAUAUAGCUGCGAUAUUGAUGAUGAUCACUUUUAGUUUUAGUCACCUUAUGUAAUGUUGAGAUUUCUAUUCAUACGUCACUUAUGAUAUGUAUCCCAAUCUUUUUAUGAACAAAAAUUCUUGAAAUCUGUAGUCUUAACUAUUAUACAGUUGGGAAAUCAAAGCGAACAGUCCUUGCUUAUAUACUAGAUUCAAUUCGUAAGUACUAAAUACCUUUUCGACAUCAUUCUCAAUCAUUCCUCAACUGACUGAGCAUUUAAUUGACUCAGCGUAUUCUCUCUAUCUACAUAAAUGUUACAGUUAUUGCAUCUCUCGUAUCAAUUUUGCCCUGUUCCUUUUGCACCAUUAUGCAACUUACUGAAGAUGGAGAAGCCAGGCUGUGAAGAUUGGAGUAGGGACAAAGGACACAUCUGGAAAAUCCAAUGAGGACAAUGUGUAGACUCAUAGUGCCUUAAAAAAUAGGGAGUUUUAUUUGUCCAGGUUUUCCUUUUUCGUGUUUCUCAAGUAGCAAGCACCAAAAUACCGUAACGCUUCUCCCUUCUUGGGCGACUGAACACUGUUCCUUCUGCAAUUCGAGCUACUGUUUCCAGGCGUUUUGGCCGUUCGUUUGGGCCGCUUUUUUGGGGGAAAGGCGCGCCUCUUGCCUCUCCUUCAACCCCUUGGCAUCGUCUCCUGGUACGUCUCCUCUCCUUGCUUCGCAUGGCUUCCUAUGGCUAGGGUUCCACCCGCCUGCUUGCUGCUGUGAGUCAUUAGUAGAGAUGGAAUCGGAGUCGAUGAGGGCUCGAAAUGAGGAGAAAGGGACGAGUUCCCAUGGUGGGCCUCCCAUUCUGACUGAGGAACCUUCGUUGGUGUCUGUGAUGAGAGGGAAAUCGAGUUCGGACACCAUUGCUGGUCCAAACGAAGCGCGAGGUCCUCGCGUAAUGGUGGCACGCGACCUGUCCAGCGAGGAAGGUCUCGCUCAGUCAAGCCUCAGGCAUGGACACCUCUAAGAAUCCAUCAGGAAAAUCGUGGGUUGCGGUGGCAAGAACCGUGGCCAAGGGUUACGAUCUGGUGUAUACCCCACCGAAUAUGGUUAAAAAUAGACCUGUGAUUGAGAUCACUGAUCAAGAUCUGGAAGCUGCAGAUCCCAAGAUGUUUGAAUGUUUAAUGGGCCAAUUCAUUGGUCGCCGAAUGCCUUUUAAGGUAGUUGAGGAAGCUAUGAAGAAAGUGUGGGGGCCAAACCUUGUUGAAGUCAUGUCAAAUGGAAAAGGGCUUUUCAUGUUUCGCAUUCCUGAUAGGGAAUUCCGUCGAAGUGUGCUUGAAAGUGGUCGGAUGACGGUUGCUAGAAUACCACUUGUCCUGCAGCAAUGGUUCCCUGGUCUUAAGCUGAGAAGAGAGACCCUCCGUACGGUUCCGGUUUGGGUUAGACUAUCGAAUAUUCCCUUUUCGUGCUGGUCCGCCCAUUUCAUCGGGAGGGUUGCAAGUGCGCUUGGUAAACCUCUAUAUGUGGAUAAGAGAACAGAGCAAGUGAACUGCCUUACCUUUGCUAGGGUCUGCAUUGAAAUUACUGCUGAUCAACCCGAGUGUAAAAUGAUUGAGACAACCCAUAAUGGUACGAAGUGUGAAAUAAGAGUGGAGUUUGAGUGGCGACCCGCUGCUUGUGCUGAAUGUGGCAUUUUUUGCCACAAUUGUGCAAUGGCUAUUAGGCCUAGUAGACCUGGAGUAGAGCGUGCUGAUGCUGGUCGUCCUUCAGAGGAGUCUGAACCUCUUAGCAAGCCCGCAAAUGGCAGCUCUCAGCAAACCAGACCACUCUCGGUGGCGUAUGAGGAUCAAAGGGGAAUGUCUUCGGGUAUGCCUUUGGCCUCUCUUCCGGAAUCUCCAAUUGAUGCUGGACAAAACAGGAGCUCCCCUGGUGGUUCCUUUCCACUCGUUCAGCUGGUGGUGGAUCUGGAGGAACCUCUCCCAUCGCACCAAAGCGACCUUGCGCAGCAUGGGAAUCAGGUUAAAGAUAAAGAGAAGGAGCAGAAUCUGCAGAAUUUGAACCAUCCGCUGAUACCAUUCUCGGAGGAGGGGCAAACUCGCAACCUGAAGGAAGCUGUGCUGGGCCAAAAGCCUCCUAAAGUCCCUGCUAAGCCACUUGAGGCUUCUAAAUUGAUACCGGAAUUUGUAUUGCCGCCUGGAGACCAGGAAGAUGAUACCAACAACUUAUCUAAUGAAGACGGUGGCCACACGCCUAGACCCGCUCCUAUGAGUGGUCUUUCGGAACCUUCUGGAGUUGGUUCGAGCCAAAAUCAGCUUCUCCUUUUGCUGCCUGACCCGCCGGGACCUUCGACUGCGGAGGACUCGAAACCACCUAAAGGUAGGCGUAGGAACGCCAAGCGGAAAUAAUCCUCCCCUUUUGCUUCUAUGUUUUUUGGUUUUUGGAAUGUUAGAGGUAUUAUGAACCCUGUCAGAAGGGCGGAGAUUAGGAAGUUUGAUGUUGCAAAUAAGCUGUGCCUUAUGGGGCAUUUUGAAACUAAAGUUCCUGAGCCUUUGUUUGGUUCCAUUUCUUCCAAUAUUUUGAGAAGCUGGAAUUGGAUUGCGAACUAUGAUUUUGCUCCUCGCGGCAGAGUCUGGAUUGGAUGAGAUCCAGCUACCGUCAGUUUUGAGUUGAUCUCUUCAAAUGACCAAGCCAUCCAUGGGUGUGUGAAGGGGUUAUCUUCAAAUUUUAAUUUCUGUAUUUCUGCUAUUUAUGGCGAGCAUUCUUUUGUGCGGCGGAGGCCUCUUUGGUCUGAUCUGAUCCAUUGUGACGAUCUUUUUCAAGACUAUGCUUGGAUAGUUGCGGGAGAUUUCAAUGCAAUCAAGGACCCUUCUGAUCGCGUUGGUAGCACUAAUGCCUGGAUCCCCUGUUUUGAUGAAUUCAAGCUUUGUCUGGAUCAAAUGGAACUUGAGGAUCUCAGGUACUCUGGCCUUCGAUUUACUUGGUCGACUUCGGCGGGUGCGAAUAAGAAGAUGCGGAAAAUUGACAGAGUUCUUGUCAACUCUAAAUGGAGAAUGGACUUUUCAUACUUGGAGGCGUCUUUUCUUAAUCCUGGAAUUUCUGACCAUACCCCUAUGGUUGUCAGGGUGGUGGAUCCGCGUCCAAGGAGGAAGCCGUUUAAGUACUUUGAUUUCUGGGCUGAUCACCCGGACUUCCAUUCUACGGUUUUGCAGGUGUGGGAUAGUCAAGUGUGGGGAUAUCCUAUGUUUAAACUAGUCUCCAAGCUGAAAUUGUUGAAAUCUCGCCUCAAGGAUCUUAAUCUAGAGGCUUUCUCGGAUAUUUCUCUAAGAACUCUUGAAGCGAGGGAAGCCUUACGUUCUACUCAGAAUCUCCUUCAGUUGGAUCCUGAAAAUGUUCCACUAGCUGAUCUUGAAAGAGGGCAGCGCCGUGCUUUUAUAGACCUUCGUGGUCAAGAGGAAUCGUUCUUUAAGCAAAAAUCAAGGAUUAGAUGGCUGAAGGAAGGAGAUCGCAACACAAAAUUCUUCCACAACUGUGUUAAAGCUAGACAUCUCAAUAACCGUAUCCUCUCUGUCAAGGACACUGCAGGUACGGUGAUUUCGGAUCCUGAUUUGGUGCCUCAAGUUUUUCUAUCUUUCUUUUCGGAUCUACUUGCUCCUAGAGUUGGAUUAGCAAAGCCAGAUCUUCAAGAGCUUACUUCUCUCAUUCGAAAGCCGUUAUCUGAUAGCCAGGUAUGUGCCCUAGCUUCGCCUGUCUCUGAUUUGGAAAUCAAGAAGACCUUGUUCUCACUUGCAAAGGGAAAAGCCCCCAGUCCAGAUGGUUUUACAGUAGAAUUCUUUAAAAGUAACUGGGGUAUCGUGGGCUCUUUAGUUACAGAGGCUGUGAAAGAUUUCUUCUCAGUAGGUUCUCUUCUUAAAGAAGUCAAUGCGACCAUCCUAACUUUAAUUCCCAAGGUGCCGAAUGCUUGUGAAGUUAACGACUUCAGACCGAUUGCUUGCUGCAACACUAUUACAAACUUAUCACCAAGAUUUUGGCCAAUAGAAUUGCGCCUGUACUUCAGGAUAUUGUUAGUCCAUCCCAGAAUGCGUUUGUGAAGGGUAGAAGAAUAAGGGAUAAUAUCUUAUUGGCUCAAGAGCUAUUUGCAGGCUUCCACUUAGACCCAUACCUCCCAAGAUGUGCAGUCAAAGUGGAUUUUCGCAAGGCCUAUGACAUUGUUGACUGGGAUUUCCUAGAGCUUACCCUUACUGCCUUCCGGUUUCCUCUGUGGAUUAUUCGCCGGAUCAUGGCUUGUGUACGCACACCCAGAUUCUCUAUCUCUAUUAAUGGGGAGCUUCAUGGUUUCUUCCCUGGAGGCAGAGGCCUUAGGCAGGGCGACCCAAUGUCACCUUAUCUAUUCACGCUGAUCAUGGAAAUCUUCUCAGAAAUUUUGAACCAAAGGUCUUCGGCUAAAGAGUUCAAAUAUUAUUGGAGAUGUAAGUCUCCCAAGCUCACUCAUCUGUUUUUUGCAGACGAUGUGUUCCUUUUUUGCCAAGCAGAUUGGAAAUCGGCUGUGAUCCUUAAAAGAAGCCUCGACAUUUUCUCUUCAUGGAGUGGUCUUAUGCCCAACAAAAAUAAGAGUGACAUCUUUCUUUCGGGAGGUGAUCCUGCUUUGUGCAAUAGAAUCCUCCAAGAAUUUGGCUUUCAGGAAGGUAAACUUCCGAUUCAAUAUCUUGGAGUGCCGAUCAUCUCUAAGAGGUUGACUAAGGCUAAUUGUACUCAGUUAAUUGAUCGCAUUACCGCGAGAGCCCGCUCCUGGUCCCAUAGGUUCCUCUCUUUUGCUGGGAGACUUCAGCUCAUAAGGUCAGUGCUUCAUGCUAUUCAAACUUUUUGGGCUAGUGUAUUCACUUUGCCCUCUUCGGUUAUCUUGGGUAUUGAAAGCAUUCUUCGUAGAUUUCUUUGGAAAGGCACCUCCUUGGAUAAGGGAGGUGCCAAAGUCUCAUGGGCGGAUGUUUGUUUGCCUAAGGAGGAAGGGGGCCUGGGGAUUCGGUCUAUCAAGGACUGUAACAAAGCCUCAAUGCUGAAAUUUAUUUGGAUCCUCUUUACGGAUAAGGAAUCGCUGUGGUGCCGAUGGAUACACUCCAACUUUUUAAAGAAGCAUAACUUCUGGGUUGCCCCUUAGCCUUCGGUUUGUUCCUGGAGUUGGAAGAAGAUCCUUCAUCUUCGGGGCUGUUGUAGACAAUCCUUUGAAUGGAAGGUCGGCGACGGCCGAUCUACAUCAUUGUGGUUCGAUAGCUGGUUGCCUUGUGGCCCUCUUCAUCUACAAGUUCCUCAAUCGUUUUUGUUGGACCCUGACGUUCCUACAAAGGCUACUGUGGCUUUUUUAUAUUCUUAUGCUGGUAGAUCCUGUAAGUCCCGGUUAGAGGAUUAUGGUUUCUCACUUCCUCCUCUUUCGGUUGAUAACGAUCGUUUUGUGUGGCGUCAAGAUUCCUCGGGAGCCUUCUCCGUAGCUUUUGCUUGGAACGUCAUCAGAACUUCUAAAGCCAAAGCACCUUGGACUCCUUUUGUGUGGGAUAAGGAUGUUGCCCCUCGGUUUCAAUUCCUUUUGUGGCUUAUUACUAAAGACCGCUUGCCUACGCAUUCUCUUCUCCUCUCAUAUGGAAGGAUUGAGUACUCAGCUUGCACUUUUUGUAAUACUCAGCCAGACUCGACCAACCAUUUGUACUUUGAUUGCAAUAUCUCAACUACCAUUAUCUACUUUUGGGCAACUAGGUGCAAUUUGCCGUGGAGGAACGGUACUUGGGCGGAAAACCUUGCUUGGGCUAUGAAAUUCCUUGCGGGUAAGGACUUCUUUCAUAGGCUAUCCCACUAUUCCUUUGGAGCUCUUUGCUAUCUAAUUUGGAAGAAGAGAAAUGCUAUGAUUUUCCGUGGGGAAUCUCUUGAUAUUCCUGCUUUGAAGAAUCAUUUGAUAAAGAUGGUUAAAGAUAAAGCAAUUACCUACAAGGAUGUCCCUGACAAUCCAAGGAAUCGGCGUCUUCAAAGGGGUUGGAAUCUCGACCCUAGUAUCUUCACGUAACCCCUUGGGUGUUAUCUUUUGAUCUUGCUCGGUCGUCUCCAGUGCGGGUGUUCUGGCUCCCGGAUUCCCAGGCGUCCUUUGAGUCCGGUGGCUGUUUCUGGUGGUUGUGUUGUGUCUUUUGUUGUGUUGUUGUUUGUUGUGUUCUUCCUUUCUUUGCCUCUUGAGGCUUUUGCGCAGUUCCCUUCCACUCUUUUGCACGCAGUGAGAGUGUAAGUUUUGGUGCCGUUUGUGUACAUUUGUCCUUUGUCUAUCAAUAUAUUCUUACCUUACCAAAAAAACAAAAAAAAAAGCACCAAAAUACCGUCAGUCAUGGAAGGAAUAAGACUCCAAUCUUGCCUCGUAGUCUGAUAAGGAGCACUUGGACAGAAAAAACAUCAGAUGGUAACAAGUCUGUAUAGAAUCAAGCAUAUAUAUGAAGUAGAAACACACUAUGAUCUACUAAACUGUAGUGAACUCUCCAGCUAAUUGAUCUUUCCAAGAUAGGAAUGGUUGCUAAUUAAAGCAACAAUCUGGAUCUACUGAUCUGAACUAAACACUCCAGUUAUUUGAUCUUUCCAAGAUACGAAUGGUUUGCUAAUUAAGGCGACAACGUUUUAUACUAUCCUAUGAAGUGAAAAAAAAUUUACUUGAUAUUGAUGGUGUAUGAGAGAGGAUGCCCACAUGCAAAUUCAGCACGCAUGUUUAUCGUUUUAGACCAUAACAGAAGGACAAGAAACCAAGUAAUGUCGUAUAAGUCGAGCUCAAAGCUUUGGCCUGAAGAGAUCAAUGUCUCCCCAUCUUUCAUAGACUGGCCUGAACUUAAUGUGUCGGCUGCAGUCGAUUAGCCAAGACUAACAGGCGACAAUGAAAACGCAUCUGAAAAAGGUAGGUGUUUCCAUGCCUAAACUAGAUCAUGCAGAGCCGUGAAACUCUGAGAAACUUAGAAGAAAAAUGCAUGUCAUUAUGCCAUGCAAGCUGAGUUCUAGGAGUUGGACAGGACUACUGGCAACCUUAUAAGAAGCUGUCAGAAUUUUCAGUUGACUCGACUGAUCUACUCACAUUUCCUGCAAGUAUAGAAUGGUAGAGAUCCUUUCUAUUUCACGGGCAUUACAUUUCUUACUUUUAGGACAAGUCAGUCGAAAGCUUCUUCGUCUUUAUCUAACCUUUUGCUUGAUGAUUAGCUCAUACCAGAAUACGCAUUCAUGUCUGAACUAUGCCACACUAUACAACGCAAUUUAUUGUAAUUUGAGUACAUUCACCAUGCCUUUAUCAAUGUCAACGUGGCAUAAGCCUGGGAGGCAUCAUAGACGACAUUUGGCUGAAUGGUGAUGUGAAAUUGUAAGUACGUUGGCAUUGAAAACGUAUACAAGAAAGUCGUAUGAGAGAUUGUUCUCAGAUGAUCAAAUAUAACCGGACUUUAAAUUACGGACUUCUCUGUAUCACAUCACGCUACUAGGUAGACCACAAAGAGAUCCCCACCGGUCUUUUACUUGUUACUGGAGUCUGAACCGAGAGCGAUUGGGACAAUUUGUGGAAACGUGAGAAACUUCUCAAAAGAAGUCACCAUGGGACCCUUCUGCUGGGCAUCAUAGCGGUCAUAAGAUGAUACAUACUUUUUAACCUUUUGUUGAUUUCUUUUUCUGUUUUUGGUCCAUCAACUAUUUACACUUGACAAAUAUAGACUUGGAAGCUCCCAAUAUAUAUCAAUGACGAUUGUUCAUUGAAUUUCAGCAUUUAACUGCUUCAAUCUUCAAGAAUCGGUUUAUUGCCACUAAUUGCAGCUUCUUUUCAAAAAAGGAAUUAUGCCUAAGCAUUUAGUUGACUACCGUGGGCUUCUAAUUGUGGGCGAUUACCGCGACGAUAAAUGUCUUUGGGUUUUUUUUCUAAGUACUGUGGCUUAGAGAAAUUUAUUUGUUUGGUCUUUCCUCCGGACAUUCUGCUUGUCCAGCUGAAAAGAUUUGCGUGCAAUUUGAAGGGAGAUAUGGAUUCCGGAACUAUCUUAUAUGUCAGUUGUCUUGGCGGUUAGAUCCGGGUCACCGGCAAUGCCUCGCAAGGUGAGGGCAUUUAUGAAAUUUUGAAAAUUUAGGGAUGGCAAAAUUGAAAUAAAAAAAUAUGUACUAGCAUUUCAGAAACACUCAAAACCCAAAGCUCCCAUAGACCUGUCUUGGGCUAAGGACUUUAGGAGGCUUGAAAAUAUAAUUGCAUUUUUAAAAAGCUCUCUAAAGAAAUUGCCAAACACCACUUAUAUUUACCCAAAGGCCUUUCAGGUCCUAAAGGGUUUUGGCAAAGUGUUACCACACACAACCCAACUCCUACGUACACAAGCACGAAAUGCAUCGGAAGAAAAGAGGAAGAUGUCUUCGAUUUUCAUUACUAUGAUAAAGUUUAAGUUUGUUGCCUACUCUGUGAUUGGAUGAUAACUUAGGAGUUCACUAUUAAAGUUGCCCAAUAUCCACAACAAAAAUAUGAUACUUUUGUUUGUAUCAUAACUACUUCCUCCCUCACUUUAACGCAAUUACAAUAAAAGAUAACCGCAAUGCAUUCUGUAGAUGAAUUUCAUUAAUUUUUUUUUUCCUUUUUAGAUUUAAUCCGAUGGUGAAUUUGUCAGUAUUUUUUCUACAUAAACAGUGGACCGGAUAAUAAUUUUCAUUUUUAGGUAGUGGGUAGUUUUCUAGUCUAAAAUGUAGUGGGUUAGUUUUCGGUUUUUGAUGGUUUUACUCUUUUAACCUUUUUAACUUUAUGAGAUAAAUUAAUUAAAGUGGAAAACAAAAAGAAGGUUUAAAAAACAAAAAAGUGACAUAAACCUCACUUUUGGCUUAAAUAUAAUAAUAUAUAGUCAGUCAUCGUGCACCGCCACGCGCAUGCCCGUUCUCUGUUUGGUUAGUUUUGUAUGAUGGUUCUUUUCUAGCACGAUGUACAAAAUCUUUUUAAAAGUAAAUAUACGCCCAUCAUAAACCACUGAAAUCAGUAUGUGAAGCUAACCUAAUAAUACCCACUGUAAAUGAUGGAUUGAUUCUGGCAACACGAUUCUUUGAUUCCUAAGAUAAACUUAAGGUCAGCACUGCAUGCAAUUAACAACUUAGUAACAUAAGAACAUAGGAAAAUUUCAAAUAAAAACUUGAAGUAGAGCUUGUAUCAAAUAAGAGCCUGAAAUGGACAAGUUAGUCUCAAAUAAAAAUUUGAAGUGGCCACUCGUCAUUUACCAGCCAAUUAAAUAUUCCGGUUGCUCAAAGAUGUAUUCAUCAAAAAUCAAUUUUGACUUUAAAUUCUUUUUUCUUUUUUUUUUCUUUUUUUUUUCUUUUUUUUUUUCUUUUCAGCAAGGGCCCAUUGACCCUUGCACGCCGUUAACAAGGCAUGUCCAAAUCUAGCGAGUGUCGGCCUUACUAAGUGCAAGGGUGACCUUGCCAAGGAGAGGCCAUCCCUCGUCAGCAAGGCAAUCAUUGCCUAGAUCUAGUGAGUGCCACUAGUUGCUGGCAAGGUGGCCCUUUGCCCAGCACCCUUCGGCAUCGCAAUCGGCCACUGGCGAAUAAGAAAGUGAAAACCAGAGAAAUGAACAAAUUCAAAAAAGGUAAAGGGUGAAAAUGUCCUUAACCAACUAGAAAGUUAGAUUAUUCUUUGAAAUUGACAUAGCCAUUUCAGGCUAUUAUUUGAAAUAAAAUUUAUUUCAGAUUUUUAUUUGAAAAGAUGAAGGCACUUUAAGUUCAUAUUUAAAAUUUUCUCUAAAAAAAUCGAAAAAGAUAGCUGCGGUAUAGAAUCGUUUCCAUAGAUGUAAAAGAACCGAUGGUAGACACAGGAAAAAAAAAAGAGUCGAAUGAAGACCUUUAAACCUGAAACAUGUGUGGAGGUUACCUAGGACAGUGAUCUACACAGAGAGUACCUCACUUCGAGUGGCGUCGGUAAUUUGUUCGAAAAAGGUGUGUGAGGAGUGAGAACGUGUAUUGAUUUCCUUCUGAAAUCACUGACCUGCGCAUGGUAGAUGCAGAAGCGCGGUUUUGAGAAUUCGACAAGCGGGCGAUAUAGUUAAGGAUGUGCAUUAAUACGCGAGAGAAGGAGUUGCUAUUUUACUGUUGUGCCAGUUUUUUGCUUGUCUUAAGAAAAUUCAAUAAAAAGGCAUAUUAGGAACCACCUAAAAGUGAGACUAAUCCCCUUUUUUCUGUUAUAGUAAUAGAUAUCGAUUAUAUAAGUUUCAAAUUAAACAAAGAAAAAAAAAUCCACAGUGCUGAAAAGGCCGCGUCAUUCAAACAUCUUUCAAUGCCUUGCGUUUCACCAUAAUACCAAUAUGUCUAGAUUUAUUUAUCAUUUUGCAAUAUAUCUCCAAAAAGUAACAAUAAAAUAAAUUAAGUAAAGGGAAAAAAUUAAAACCUAAACAGAAUAUUUUAAAAGAAGGCACAUAACCUCUUUAUUAUUAAAAUUUAUUUUUUUGUAAUUCAUAGAUAUUUUGAUUCAAUAAUUUUUUGGUCAAAUGGUAGCAUUUGAUUAGUAAAAAGUAACAUAAGCACAUUAUCACCUUCACUUGACAAGGACUCAUCUAGUCUUAAUAAACCACACCUUUAUUUAAUGACUUAAGUUUUUAGAAUGGUUAGUUUUACUCAUAAGUUCGAAUCUUUUCAUGCAAAUGAGGGAAAGUGUUAUGCUCUCAAUUAUAUAUUUCCACUAUUUUGUUUAGUCCAAAGUUCAGUCUAUAGCUAACAGUGACAGUGGUCUUAUAAAAUCUCACAAUCGUAAUCAUCAUGUCAUUGUUGAUUAGCUUUCUCAUCUAUUAUUGCCUUCGUCCGUUGAUUUAUUUAGGCCCGAUGUCCUAUCUAUUUUCCUGUUCGCACGUGACAUCAUCUGAGCUACACGAUCAUAUUCAAUGUCUUUGCCUUCAAUUGGAGGGAACUUUCCAAGGAAGAUGACGAGGACCAACACUCACAAGGACCAACAAACACUCAUAAUGAACAGAGGCAUAAUGAGUGGAAAUGUGCCAAGAGAAAAAAGAAGGGAAGCCAACAAGGCACAAAACGCGAUUAAGUUGCACAACUACAGCCACAACGAAAAAGGACAAAAACAAAAGAAAGCGACCAGUCGGCCAAACAAAGGCAACCGCAGCCAAAACCAAACAAAACGUCAUUGCCCAAAUGGAAAGGACGAGACAAUCGGCAGGAAUCAAGGCCAGCACCGAAACAAACAACAGCGGGCAUUCUGCACCACCACUCUAACCUGGAAAUAUUAUGGAUGUGCUGGAAAUAUCCCCAGCUAUGUUGAAGUCUCCUGUUUCUUGGGUUGUCUUCAACAUUUGAGAAGGUUAAAGCCUUAUCCUUAACCACUUUAAUAAGGUGGUUCUUCACGGCCAUAAGCGUGAAGGUAUAGUUCCUAAAGAGAAUCUCAUUCCUAUAUUUCCAAAUAAAGUGGCAAAGAGCCCCAAAAGAGAAAUGGGCGAUAGAGUGAUAGAAGUCCUUUCCGGAUAGGAACUUUAUAGCCCAAUAGAGGUUGUCAGCCCAAGUCCCAUUCCUCCAAGGGAGAUUGCAUCUGGCGACCCAAGAGAAGGCACAACUAGCCGUAAUACUACAAUGAAAAAAACAUAUGAUUAAUAGAAUCCAGAGUUACUUUGCAAAAGGGGUACACCGUAUCCCCAAUCUUGCCAUGCGAUAAUGAGUGGAAAUGUGCCAAGAGAAAAAAGAAGGGAAGCCAACAAGGCACAAAACGCGGUUAAGUUGCACAACUACAGCCACAACGAAAAAGGACAAAAACAAAAGAAAGCGACCAGUCGGCCAAACAAAGGCAACCGCAGCCAAAACCAAACAAAACGUCAUCGCCCAAAUGGAAAGGACGAGACAAUCGGCAGGAAUCAAGGCCAGCACCGAAACAAACAACAGCGGGCAUUCUGCACCACCACUCUAACCUGGAAAUAUUAUGGAUGUGCUGGAAAUAUCCCCAGCUAUGUUGAAGUCUCCUGUUUCGUGGGUUGUCUUCAACAUUUGAGAAGGUUAAAGCCUUAUCCUUAACCACUUUAAUAAGGGGGUUCUUCACGGCCAUAAGCGUGAAGGUAUAGUUCCUAAAGAGAAUCUCAUUCCUAUAUUUCCAAAUAAAGUGGCAAAGAGCCCCAAAAGAGAAAUGGGCGAUAGAGUGAUAGAAGUCCUUUCCGGAUAGGAACUUUAUAGCCCAAUAGAGGUUGUCAGCCCAAGUCCCAUUCCUCCAAGGGAGAUUGCAUCUGGCGACCCAAGAGAAGGCACAACUAGCCGUAAUACUACAAUGAAAAAAACAGAUGAUUAAUAGAAUCCAGAGUUACUUUGCAAAAGGGGUACACUGUAUCCCCAAUCCUGCCAUGCGAUAAUGAGUGGAAAUGUGCCAAGAGAAAAAAGAAGGGAAGCCAACAAGGCACAAAACGCGGUUAAGUUGCACAACUACAGCCACAACGAAAAAGGACAAAAACAAAAGAAAGCGACCAGUCGGCCAAACAAAGGCAACCGCAGCCAAAACCAAACAAAACGUCAUCGCCCAAAUGGAAAGGACGAGACAAUCGGCAGGAAUCAAGGCCAGCACCGAAACAAACAACAGCGGCCAUUCUGCACCACCACUCUAACCUAGAAAUAUUAUGGAUGUGCUGGAAAUAUCCCCAACUAUGUUGAAGUCUCCUGUUUCUUGGGUUGUCUUCAACAUUUGAGAAGGUUAAAGCCUUAUCCUUAACCACUUUAAUAAGGUGGUUCUUCACGGCCAUAAGCGUGAAUGUAUAGUUCCUAAAGAGAAUCUCAUUCCUAUAUUUCCAAAUAAAGUGGCAAAGAGCCCCAAAAGAGAAACGGGCGAUAGAGUGAUAGAAGUCCUUUCCGGAUAGGAACUUUAUAGCCCAAUAGAGGUUGUCAGCCCAAGUCCCAUUCCUCCAAGGGAGAUUGCAUCUGGCGACCCAAGAGAAGGCACAACUAGCCGUAAUACUACAAUGAAAAAAACAGAUGAUUAAUAGAAUCCGGAGUUACUUUGCAAAAGGGGUACACCGUAUCAAGAAGUCUUGGAAUGAAUGAAAUAAAUUAUCAAUGUCAUUUCUCGAAUCUAUUCACAAUGCCUUACAAAAAACACUAUUGACCAUCCAACUUUGUCACCGUGACCACAUUAACAGUAUGAAAUUCUUCAUUUGUCUGGGUUGCGCUUAAGUCCAUUGAACUCCUUUCCAUGAAAAAAACCAGGCUAUUUAGGUCCAGGCAAGCUUGCACUUUCAUUUUUAACAUGACAACAACGGAGGACAUCACCGGUCUAUCAUUGGGGAACUUUUGUACGUAUAACAAACCCACAUGAAUACAUCUUUGUACUUGAGGUUCCACCGAAUCAUAGCCAUCAAUGAGUUUCAUGGCUCUGUCUUCACUCCAAAGCAACCAUGCCUGAAAAAAAAUCACAUCCCGGGCUUAGUCACGCAAGACAAAAAGGGCGAGAGAAUAACAUAUGCUCUGACUUUUUUCUCUUACAUGUCCAAGAAGGUUAUGAUGAUGAUUUGGGUGGCAGAAUCCUCUAUUUCUUUUGCCGCUUACAAUCUCUAACAACAUAACACCAAAGCUAAAGACGUCGGAUUUCUAUCCAUCUUUCAUAGACUGGCCUGAACUUAACGCGUCAGCUGAAGUCAAUAAGCCGAAGACUGACGGGCAGACAAUAAAAAGGCAAAUGAAAAAGGUAGGUGCUUCCACGCCUAAACUAAAUCAUGCAGAAGAGCGAAACUGUGUGAGAUUUAGAAGAAAAAAUGCGUGCGCUCGUGCCAAGCAAGCAAAGUUAUCGGAGACGGACAGGAAAGGAUUGCGAUCACCACUGGCAACCAUCCAAGAAGCCCUCAGAGUAGAAUUUUUCAGUUGACUCGACUGGUCAACUAUACAGUGUGAUUUACUGUAAUCGAGUACUUUCACAAUGUGUUUAUCAAUGUCAUCGUGGCAUUAGCCAUGGGGCAUCAUAGACGACAUUUGGUUGAGUGGCGAUAUGAAAUUGUAAGUAUAUUCAAGGCACGUCAAAAUCUGCGGAAACGUGAGAACCUUCUCAAAUGUUACCACGGGGCCACUCUGCUGGGCAUCAUAGUGGUCAUAACAAGAUACAUUCAGUUGACCCGAAGUCAGAUGCCACUCGAAAACGGUUUCGACGCUCCAUCCCAAUCGCAUACCAGCCAAAAGGGUGUUAGUUGGAUUGUCAAAGCUUUGCCAUGACCAUUCACCAGAAUGUGAACUUGUAUUCUCUGAAACGACGAGGUUACCAGAAUCCAACAGCUGGGCAACCGGAUUUUCUAGAACCCUGGAUGAAUUCGAAGACCAGAUGACGCUCUUCGACUGGUUGAGAACUACUAAAUUUCUCUCACCGCUAAACGUGAGAACGCCAUUUGAAUCGGUGAGUGGGUUGUUUCCAUUGGCGACCCAAACGACUGUUUGAGGACUAAAUUUGUACCAUAUCCCCAAGUACUUAUUCGUGGAUUUUUCUGGGGAGAAGAAGCCAAGCUCAAAGCUCUGGCCUGAAGAGACCAAUGUCUCACCAUCUUUAAUGGACUGACCUGAAGUUAAGGUAUCAAAUGCGAUCGACAAGUUCAGCGCCGAUAGAAAGAUCACAAAAAGAGAGUGAAAAGGGGAGGAAUAGGAAAGUUUCCAAUUUCCAUAAAGCCCUCUGCUAUUUUUCCCUUGAUGCUCCUCAUCAGUGCCACUUCUAAAAAUCAAAAGAUGCUUACCGUGAAUAAUCGAGCUGAAAGUCUACCUUAGAGGCUUACAGAAUGUUCUACUAUAAUGCUGGGCCGAUCACCAGCAACUCCCAGUAAGAUAGGUAAUCAAGGGUCAUAAAAUGUACACUUGGUCGAGAAUUGUUGAUUAGACGACUUGCAAUGUCUCCUCACGCAAUGCAAGAAAGUCAGCUCUCUCUCCCUCACGACUAAGAGUCUUCCCCAAGCAGGAGUAUUAAUGGUGUUGACCAUGUUUGAAAGGGAACACCUUCCAGAAGGAGCAUGAAGGCUCUGCUCUGUUCAGACAUGAAGGAAAAUGGAGGUGAUGAAAUUUUGGGUAGAAAAUGGAGAAGAAUACAAAAUUAUUGUGAGAGAGGAUGUAGGGAAUUUGAUUUUUUUUCAACUUUCCACCCAAACGCAUCAGUAAUGUUUAAUGACUAAAACGAUAAACCUAAAUUUGGUUGGGCUUUUAAAGAAAACCUUUGUGGCAAUGCAAAGGGCUUUUAGGUUAAAGAGUUUUUUUGAAAACUAUAAAUGGUGUUCAGUAAAGUGUAAUUUAAAAGUGCAUUGAAAAGUAAUUCUAAUUUAAAUGUUGCUUGGAACAAAAUACACUUAAAAAAUUCUUAUGCUAAUUUUUUCAUUAAAAAAAAAAACAAAUCCUUCACCCAAAUUGGCCAAGAGCUCAGGCCCUUGGCAGUUAGAUUCGGGCCAUCGGCGACGUCGAGCAAGGUGAAGGCAUUUUCGAAAUUUUGAAAGUUAAUGAUGGCAAAAUUGGAAGAAAAAAAUUAUAUUAGCAUUUCGGAAAUAAUUAAAACCCAAAACUCCUACGAGUCAGCCUUGGUUUAAGGGGCUCUAGAGGGAUUUGGAAAUGGAAUUGCAUUUUGGAAAAGCUCUUUAAAAAAAUUGCCGAAACACCACUUGCAUUUUGGUCACCAAGGAUUUAAAGCGUUACCGAGCACAGCCCAACUCCUAGGGACCCAAGCACGAAAUGUAUGUGAAAAAAAGAGGAAGAUGUCUUCAAUUUUCAUUACUACGAUAAAGUUCAUGUUUGUUGCCUCCUAUGUGAUUGGAUAAUAAAUUAGGAGUUCACUAUUUAAGUUGCCAAAUAUCCAUAACAAAAAUAUGAUACUUUUGUUCGUAUCAUAACUACUUCCUCCCUCACUUAAACGCAAUUACAAUAAAAGAUAACUAUAAUGCAUUCUGUAGAUGAAUUUGAUUUAUUUUAUUUUCCUUUUUAGAUUUAAUCCGAUGAGCAGCAUGUGUCAGUUAUUUAUUUACGUUUACAGUGGACCGGAUAAUUUAUAUAAGUAGUGAACAGCUUUCUACUCUAAAAGGUAGUGGGUUAGUUUUCCGUUUCUGAUGGUUUUACUCUUUUAAACUCUGCAAGUCUCUUUAUUAGAUAAAUUAACUGAAGCGGAAAACAAAAAGAAGAUUUCAAAAACAAAAAGAGAGACAAACCUCAUUUUUGGCUAAUAGGCCAGUCACCUUGGAUGAGAGUUCUUUUUUAGCACAAUGUACAAAAUCUUCUUAAAAGUAAAUAUUCGCACAACACAACCACUAGAAAUCAGUAUGUGAACCUGACCUAAGACUAACAAUGUCCAUCCUGAAUGAUGGAUUGAUUCUGGCUCUACGAAUCUCUGAAUCUUGAAAUAAACUUAAGGUUUGCGCUGCACCCAGUUAACAACUGAGUAGCAUAAGAACAUUGAAAAAGAAAGCUGCCAUACAGAACCGCUUCCAUAGGUGUAAAAGAACCGAUGGUAUACAGGUUAGUAAAGAAAAAGUCGAAUGAAGGCCUUCAAACCUGAAACAUUUGUGGAGCUAACCUAGGACAGUGAUCAACACAACAGAGUAACUCACUUUGAGCGGUGUCGGUAAUUUGUUCGAAAAAGGUGUAUGAGAAGUGAGAACGUACAUUGAUUCCCUUACGAAAUCACUGACCUGGGUAUGAUCGAUGCAGAAGUGCGGUUUUGAGAAUUAGACAAGCAGGCAAUACGGUUAAGGACGUGGAUGAACACGCGAAAGGAGUCGCUAUUUUACUGUUGUGCCAUUUUUUUUUUCUCGUCUUAAGAAAAUUUAAUAGAAGGGCAUAUUAGGAACUACGUAAAAGUGAGACUAAUCCCUUUUUCUAGCUAUAGUAAUGGAUAUCUAUCAUCUAAAUUUCAAAGUAAAAAAAAUCCACAGUGCUAAGAAGGCCAUGUCAUUCAAACCUCAGUGCCUCGCAUUUCACUGUAAUACUAAUAUGUCUAGAUUUAUUUAUUGCUCUGCAGUAUAUCUCCGAAUAAUGAUUUAAGUUCGAUAAAAAGUAAUGACAAAAUGAAUUAAGUAAAGAGCAAAUUUAAAUCAUAAACGCAAACAAUUUAGAAGAAGACACAUGACCUCUUUAUUAUAAAAAUUUAUUUGUUGUAAUUCAUAAAUAUUUUGUUUUAAUAAUUUUGUUGUCAAAUGUUAGUAUUUGAUUAGUAAAAAGUAACAUAAGCACAUUACCUCCUUUGCUUGACGAUGGACUUGAGCUCGUCAUAAUAAACCACAUAUUCAAAUAAAAAUUUAAGUAUUUAAAAUAAUUAAUACCAAUUCUAAAUUCAAAUCUUUCCAAAUUGAAGAGGAUAAAUGUUAUGCCUUCCCAAUUAUACAUUUCCGUUAUUUAGGUUUAGCCUAAAGUUUGGUCUCAUAAAAUCUCACAAUCAUAAUCAACACGUCGUUGAUGUUGAUUAGCUUUCCUUGUCAAAUUAUCACGCUUUCCUUGUCAAAUUAUCACCUUUGACCGUUGAUUUAUAUAGGCCCAAUGUUCUUUUCAUUUCCCUCUUCGCACGUGGCAUCAUCUGAGCAGCACAUGUAGAAAAUUAUUCGCAAACAAUUAAUCAAUCAAGAAGAAUCAGAUCCAUAUAUAUCUAUAAAACAGUAAGAUCAAUAAGCAUAGUGGAAUUAAAGCAUACAUGUUUGAGCCAUUGAUUUACUUGAAAAAAAAUAGAUAUAUCUGAUAAUUAGUGAUCUAUCGAAAUGUCAGAUCUUCCUCUAUAUGACAUAUUUCAAUAUAGCAACUUUCAAUGGGAUUAAAGUAACUGAUAUGUAUAACAUACCCUUUUAUAAUCUAAAGAGAGGAUAUAGCAAACCAUAAUCAACAGCAUGUCAAUUGGACCAUUCCCGUUACGAGCUUUAGUUAAACACAAUUGCCCAUACUUUACUGCUCAACUAAGCCCGUUAUUAAUAGAUGUUAAUACCCAAUUUAAUCAGAUAAUUUUGUAGAGUUCAACAAAUAUUGAAAUAUCCAUUAACCUAAUUAUUUAAAAUAAAAAAAUUAAUUAAUUAAUGUAAGCCCAUAUUAUAGAAAAUUUCCAACAACACAACCAUAUUCAAUUUCUUUGUCUUCAAAUGUGGGAAACUUUCUAAGGAACAACCACCGCCUCGGUGGCCGUGAUGGUUUGGGCUCUCUCUCCCUCACGAAAGGGAGAAGUUCGAAUCCCCUCACAGUCGCUUGGGAUUUUAAGUGGGACGCCGGGGGUGGUGGGCCCUCCCGCUUACCUAUCUCCCAAUUUUACUCGCCAGUUGCCGGCUAUACGAGGUUCCUGGAUUAAAAAAAAAAAAAAAAAAUUAAGGAACAUGACAAGGACUAUAGUUCAGGAUCUUCCACCCGAUCAAUGACAGUUUGUCAAAGCUCGUCCCUCCGUCUGGAGAAUUAACAACCCUGAGAAAAGUCGGAAGUGCCAGUCUGGGCUCGCAAUUUCCAGAGAUUGAUCAUUUACACGCUAAUAAUCAUAAUACUGUACGCCCCCUCGGGAUCGUUCACGUAGCUCUGCGACAAUUACGUCCUAGGCUGAUUUCAGACAUUCCAGGAGUGAAAAUACGAAAAAAAUAGAUCUAUAGCGAUAAUUACUUAAAACCGUUAUUAAACAAGCCCUACGCUGGAUAAUAAAAACAAGCCCUAUUCAAUAUAAUAAACAUUUAAAAAUAAAACCACAAUCUUGCCUAUUAUAUUGUUAGAUGGCUCAAACCUAUCAUCAAUGUCGUCAUUCCUAUUUGGUAACUAGUCAAUAUUAUUUAAUACUAGGGGUGUGCAACGGGACUGAGAACCGCUCAAAUUGCCCAUAACCAAACCAGAUUGGCCUAAAACCGGCGGUUUCCGUGAGAAUUGGCCCAGUUUUCAAUUGCAAAUUACUAGAACCAGUUAAUACCGGUCUGGUUCUUGGUUCUAGGUGUAGAAUUGCCCACCUACCCAAUUGGAAUAGACCGAUAUAUUUAUAUUUUUAUAUGUAAAAUUGCAUUGGUGAAUUGAUGUUUUAAAUAAAUAAACAUAAUGGAGAAGGUGUAGUGAGAGCAAUUCUUUCCUUCCAUUUUGCUUUGUGAAGCAACAAGAGGAAGAAGAAUCACCAAACUGAAACAAGAAAAGAAAAGGAACAAUGGCGGUUGAUGAGCCAACGAUGUUUGCUUCCAUGAUGAUGGUAAUUUUGGGCUUACUCAGGUUCAUCCUAAUACAUGUAUAUAGAGAGUUCAUAUGGGGAGCAAGGAGGCUCAGAUCAAAGCGUUAGAGGCAAUGAAUAGAGGGACCUCCUCAUACAUCAAGAAAUAUUAAUUGAUGAAUGUAAUUUUGUAGCGAUUGAGAAUCGGUUCCAUGGAUCCAUUCGGGAAUCAGACUGGACUGGCAAUCCAAUUUUCAAGUGGAUCCAUAGAACUAACAGACGGUUCUUGAUUCCAAUUUUUUGGAAUUGGUCAUUAGUGGAUGGUUCCCGUUGUAAGGUGGAAACCGCCGUCUCGAUAUACUUUAACAACGAUAUUCAGCUCAUUGGAAACGCCACCAAAUUUAACUCCAUCCCAUGGCCCAGUUCGAUAUACUUUGGCUGAACCAUUGCUGAUUAUUUCAAGUUGAGGUAACCCAUCGAUUUUGUAUCUGAAUGUAUAAUCUCCAGGGGAAGGAUCGUCUGUGCUUCUCCAGGAAGUCAGAUGAUGUUCCAAACCGGUUUUAAAGUUCCAUUCCACUGUCAUACCAACCAAAAUCGUGUCUGAUGGGUAAUCAAAGCUUUGCCAUGAGUAAUCAACAGAAUCUAAACUGUUGCUUUCCCUAAGAACAAGGUUACCAGAAUCUAGUUGCUGUACAAUUGGGUUACGGAGAACCUUAGUUGAAUUCGUUGACCAAAUGACACUCCUUGAUUGGUUGAGAAGAACAAGUUCGCCUUCAUUGCUUAUUUCCAGAGUACCAUUUGAAUCAGUGAGUCGAUUGUUCCUAUUAGCAACCCAAACAACCGUAUCAGGACUCGCCACGAACCGUAUCCCCAGGAAAUUGCUCUUUGAACUUCCAGCAGAAAAGAAACCGAGCUCAAAUUUUCUGCCUGCGGAAACUAAUGUCUCUCCCUCUUUAAUAAAUUGUGCUGAAGUCAGGGUGUCAACUGCAGUAGACAAGCGCAGCAGUGACAAAACCACGAUGGAAGUGCAGAAGAAGCUGAAGAUCGGAUAAUCUGCCAUUGCAAACCCUUCUGUUUGAUCCACGAGAUAAAGUAAACAACUAGAUAAAGAUUCAAACUUUUCAGAAUAGCACGACUGGAUAAGAAACAGAAGACAGAUGCCUUUGUUUGGUGCAGAGCGAGUUCUAGGAGUUCCAGAUUGGAUUGAGUUGGGUCAAGCAAGAAGCUAAGUCACACAAAUGUUCGUCGAUCACUCUUUAACCUUCCUGUAAUCGUCACAGACCAAAUCUGACUCAAAUUGGUGAAAAGGCAAGUUUUAUUAACGUGUCACUUACACGCUUUCUGUUUUGCCGCCAUCGUCACCAUCCUUGUUGCACCAGUCCAAGCUCGCAUACGGCUAAAUGAUGCGGAAAGUAGUAAGGCAGUCCCAUCGGGAGGCGGAGAUACCGCUCAGCUACUAGGUGGUCUCCAUGCCACGAUAGUUCAUAAUGUAAAUAUGGACUUGACCCGGUCAAAGCAAAGAAAAAGAAAAAAAAAGUCGACCGGUCAAGAGGAAAGAAGGAAUAAGGGAAAGAGAAAGGAGGGGCUUCAAGCGUUCCCGACGCAGACUCCUCGCCAACCCGAUUCAACUCUUAUUCACAAUGCUCAGUAAGUGCUCACACCCUUUCUUAUUUCAACCAGAGCAGUUUUUGGAGUUAGGUCAUAUAUUCAAAAUUUUGUGAAUUCAAGCCGCGAAAUCUUAUUUUAUUUUAACUUAUUGAGCUUUGGCAUUUCAUGGAAAUUGUGGAUUGUGGUGUCAUAGAGACAAGAGGGGAAAAAUAUAAAAAAAAAGUCAUAAACCUAUUACAUUUGUACCAAUUCAGACAUAAAUCUUUCAAUUGGACUAAUUUAAUCUUAACCAUUUUCACAUUAAUACCAAUUAAGUCCAUUUAGCCAAUUUUGGUCGGCUGGGGCUAACAUUGACAUCGGCCGGUGGCCGAACGCUGAUGUGAUAAUUUUUCAAUAAUUUUAAAAUAAUUUUUAAUUUUUUUCAAAUUUUUUAUUAACUUUUUUCUUUUUGUUUUUUCCUUUUUCUUUCCAUUUUCCUUUUCUUUUCUCUCUUCUUCCUUUUGGAUUGUCCUCGCAAUAGCCGGUGAGCCUCCAACGAGGCUACCGGUGAGGGUUGCAGCCCUCGCCCGAUCUCACCCAGGCCUUUAGGGAGGCGAGCUAGGGCCGUGACCCUCACUGACCACCACGAGGACAAUUCAAGGAGAAGGAAGAGAAAAGAAACAGGAAAAAAAGAAAAAAGAAACAAAUUAUUAAAAAAUUGCCAUGUCAGCAUUUGCUAAAUUGGCUAAAUGAGUUGAAUUGGUACCAAUUUGAAAAGAUUUAUGACUAAUUGGUCCAAUUGAAAAUUUUAGGAUUGAAUUGAUACCAAUACAAUAUGUUUAUGAUUUUUUUUAGUACUUUUCCUAGAUGGGAGUCAGUUUAGAGCUAAUGGUUUGGUGGAAGUAAAGACUUUAGGAUUUCACAUGUGAGUUCCAUGUUGCAAAUGCUUGAAUAAUUAAUUUUGGGGAGCAAUUUGUUGUCGUGUAUGAAUUGUUUUAUUAGCCUUUAAGCGUAGUUUACUUGGUUUUGACAUUGAUUAUCAUAGCUGCGUGUUGCUUGGUUUUGGGUAUUUCCAGGUAAGUAGUACUAUCUCUUCUUCAAGUUUGUAAAUUCAUAUUUGGAAAGCAAUAUGGAUUAUAUAUAAUGUGGGUUAAGAAAUGGCAUUAUUGUUGUAUAGAAAAUUGAAUCAAGUAUUUACUACUUCUUGGUUAUUUAUGAAUAUUUUAGAAAACGUGUACUACAAGAUAUUGUGAAGAUAUACAUAUGCACAUGUUUAACUUUGCAAACUAGUUUGCCAAAAGAUUUUUUAAUAAUAUGAGAAAUGCUUUGAGAAAGGUAUUUCUAGCGGAUAAGAUGUAUUGUGAAAAGGUUAUUUGCUUUGAUUUUUAAAAUGUAUAGUGGUUUUAUGAGAUUGAUUAUUGACUGGAUUUCUAGUACUGGAGGAUGAUUAUUUGAUGCUAUGUAUACCAGUUUUAGGAUAUCCUUUUGAGCUAAGUUGGCCUUGUGAGUGAAGACCUAGCCAAGGAGGAAUUUUUAAUCUUCUUGUCACCAAGCAUGUGUCUUAACUACAGUAGAAUAUUGAUCAAUAGAUUUCUUAAUAGAUUAACCAUUGACGUGUGAUNNNNNNNNNNNNNNNNNNNNNNNNNNNNNNNNNNNNNNNNNNNNNNNNNNNNNNNNNNNNNNNNNNNNNNNNNNNNNNNNNNNNNNNNNNNNNNNNNNNNAUGUUAAUUGACCAAAUUCUUUUCCUUUCUCUAUGACGUGGUUUGCAUAUCAGAUUUUUUCUAAGACAAAUCAAGAAGAUCCCCUCACGGAUCUUUCCCCUGGCCAUUUGUCUCAACAGUUUCGGGCAAACGGUUCCCCUUGUUAAAUGAAGUUCAACCCGCCGAAACUCGGAUGACUUAAUAAUUCAUCCUCCUCCCUACUGGGGAGUGAAAUUCCAUAACAUGUGAGAACUCGUUUUACUUAAAGAAAGAGAGAAAGGGGUAAGGGGCAACGUCCGAGGGGGAAAAAUCAGAAAAGCUAAAAUGUCUGACGUGGCAAGAACCUGGUCAUAGAGAAAAAGGAGAGAAGGAAAAGGUCAAGACCGACGACAAAAAUAUCGGUCAUGCUAAAAUCUGUCAGAUUUGGCGAGAACGUGCUCAUCGUAUCGUGAUUACUCAUAUUCAAACAUUGGAACGGUCAUUACACGCAAUUUGGGCUUGCAAAUUCCAAUGACGACACUCCACGUCUGGUCACUAUGGAGAAGGGUCCAAAGAAAACAAAAAAGAUAUUAUGGUUCAACUAGCAAUUUUUGUAAUUGGCAUUGGAAAUAAUUAAUUUUAAGUAAGGAUAUAUAGUAAAGCCAUCUUUCUUGAAAGAUGGCUGGGACCUUAUCUCGAAUAAGAGUAUAAAAUGACCAUCUUAACUCCAAAUAAAGCCCGAACUUAUCGGCCGACUAAAUUUUUGCAAGUGAGCUUUUUGUGAUGGCUAGAAUAGGGGCAAUUUUGCCCAAAAUAUUCUCAUUAUAUAGAAAUCGGAGCUAGAGUUCGUGUUAACCAAUUGAACAAUGACCAAAACUCUAAAAAAUUAAAAAUUAAAAAACCUCAAAUUGAAUUCGCAAUUCAUGUUUUGUUCCCCUCCCACUACCGUUGAUGAAAACAUUUGGGCAACUUUUUGCUAGCGAAAGACAAAGCUUAUAUUUUCGUUUUUUUUUUUUUUUAAGUUCGUGUGUCAUUGUAUAUAUGAAUUCAAUAGACCAAACUUUAUAUAUAAAGGUCUGCUAAAGAAAAGUGUCAUCUCUAUGAAAGUCAAGAUAGCAAACCUAAACUCUCAAGAUUGGAACGGUCAUUACACGAUAUUCAAACAUUGGAAUAGUUAUCACACGCUAUUUGGGCUUGCAAAUUCCAACGACGACACUCCACGUCUGGUCACUAUGGAGAAGGGUCCAAAGAAAACAAAAAGGAUAUUAUGGUUCAACUGGCAAUUUUUAUAAUUGGCUUUGGAAAUAAUUAAUUUUAAGUAAGGAUAUACAGUGAAGCCAUCUUUCUUGGAAGAUUGCUGGGACCUUAUCUCGAAUAAGAGUCUAAAGUGGCCAUCUUAACUUCAAAUAAAGCCCAAACUUAUCGCCGACUAAAUUUUUACAAGUGAGCUUUUCGUGAUGGCUAGAAUAGGGGCAAUUUUGCCCAAAAUAUUCUCAUUAUAUAGAAAUCGGAGCUGGAGUUCGUGUUAACCAAUUGAACAAUGACCAAAACUCUAAAAAAAUAAAAAUUAAAAAUUAAAAAACCUCAAAUUGAAUUCGCAAUUCAUGUUUUCUCCUCCUCCCGCUACGGUUGAUGAAAACAUUUGGGCAACUUUUUGCUAGCGAAAGACAAAGCGAUAUUUUCGUUUUUUUUUUUUUUAAGUUCGUGUGUCAUUGUAUAUAUGAAUUCAAUAGACCAAACUUUAUAUAUAAAGGUCUGCUAAAGAAAAAUGUCAUCUCUAUGAAAGUCAAGAUAGCGAACAUAAACUCUCAAGAUUGGAACGGUCAUUACACGAUAUUCAAACAUUGGAACGGUUAUCACACGCUAUUUGGGCUUGCAAAUUCCAAUGACGACACUCCACGUAUGGUCACUAUGGAGAAGGGUCCAAAGAAAACAAAAAAGAUAUUAUGGUUCAACUAGCAAUUUUUGUAAUUGGCUUUGGAAAUACUUAAUUUUAAGUAAGGAUAUACAGUGAAGCCAUCUUUCUUGGAAGAUUGCUGGGACAUUAUCUCGAAUAAGAGUCUAAAGUGGCCAUCUUAACUUCAAUAAAGCCCGAACUUAUCGGCCGACUAAAUUUUUGCAAGUGAGCUUUUCGUGAUGGCUAGAAUAGGGGCAAUUUUGCCCAAAAUAUUCUCAUUAUAUAGAAAUCGGAGCUGGAGUUCGUGUUAACCAAUUGAACAAUGACCAAAACUCUAAAAAAAUAUAAAAAAAUUAUACAACCUAAAAUUGAAUUCACAAUUCAUGUUUUCUCCCCCUCCUGCUACGGUUGAUGAAAACAUUUGGGCAACUUUUUGCUAGCGGAAGACAAAGCAAUAUUUUCGUUUUUGUUUUUUUUUUAAAGUUCGUGUGUCAUUGUAUAUAUGAAUUCAAUAGAUCGAACUUUAUAUAUAAAGGUCUGCUAAAGAAAAUUAUCAUCUCUAUGAAAGUCAAGAUAGUGAACAUAAACUCUCAAGAAAACUUCAAAGAAGGAUUUAAAGUGUUAUCAUUUUCUCAAAUAAGUGUCUAAAGUGGCAAUGACAUUUUUAAAUAAGGAUCUAAUCUUUCUAGCCAACUAAAUAUCUUGGUAGUCAAUGACGUUUUUGUUUGAAGAUAAUUUAACUAAAAUAUAAUUUAAACUAAAUUUUAGUUAAAUUAGAAUAAAAAUUAAGCAAGCUAAAAAAUCUUGAGAAAAAAAAAUAUAGGCUAGAGGUUAGAUGAGGUCCAGCAACCCUCGCCCAGAUCUAGGAGAGGAUCAUGGCCCUCUCCAUGCUAGUUUAAUUAAGAUUUUGUGUAAAAAUUAGGAUUUGAAUCAAAAUAACGUUAUUUUAAUCUUUUAGUUAACCUUAAUGUCAUGUAGAACACACGUGGGAAAGAUAAAAUAUUGAAAAAAUUGCAUUAGCAUUUUCCAUUACUUCAAUUAGAUGAGGUUAGCAUAAGAACCCAUAUUUUAGAAAAUUGAGCUCUUGGGGGAGACCUGCAAGCCCUCGAUGGCUCUAGAAAAGGUCAUCUAGCCUAGGUCCUCAUGGGCCACAGGCAAAGCAACCCUUGCUUGGCCCUCUUCAUCAUCACUUGAGAUAGGCCACCGGCAAAAAGGAAAGAAAAAAAAAAUUAAUAUAAUAUUAAUUGACGCAAAUACCCUUGACCUAUAGUGAGGUAAUAUUCAUUUUUAAGAUUGACAUAAUCACUUCAGAUUCUUAUUUGAAAAUAUGAUUGUACUUUAAGUCUUUAUUUGAAAUUUUCUCCCAACUCCCCUCUAUCAGGUCCUAGAAAUUUAAUAUUUCCUAGCAAAUCAUAAUUUAUUAACGGCCUUCCUAUAACAUCCAGCUACUAACAAGCUUAAUCUUUUAGGUGCUGAAUUUUUAUAUUUUAUCAUUUAAUUGGGUUAUUAAACAAGCCCGAUACUGAGAUAAAAUGUUUCUUAAUUAAUCUAAAUAUGGGACUAACCUGUAAUGAGAGGGCAUGAUUGGAAACUUUAUAAAUAGUGCUCGAAUCUCUCAUCUACCAUAAUUCUCACAGUAUCCUCAUAUAAGAAGCAUUAACCUAGCGCUAAAGGUGAGGAUGCCGUCUCAUUGAGCCAGUGAUACAAAAGGCAAUAGAGGAGAAAGACUUGCGCGUGGAACAUCAGUUUUCCACUUCCGCUUCAAGAACGAUGGAUCCCAAAAUAAGUGCGUUAAUCUUUCUACUCAAUUAUGCAUGUUCUUGUUCUGGUUAUGGAGAUUUUAAGAUUGCGCAAUUUACAUCUAACACGUGGUAUUAGAGCAGUCAUAACCUUAGAACUCGAACGCAUAUAAUUUUUGCCUUAAUUUGAGAUUUUCGUGAUUUUUUGUUCAAUAAAAAUCAAAUUAAAUUAUAUAUUCGGAUAGGGCUCAUCGAGGCGAGCAGAUCCGUGGGCGAUGCGUCGCCAGAGGAGGCCGCACACGCAGCCAUGCGCCGCUUGGGCGUCAAAGACACGCCCCACGCGCGGUCAUGCGCCCUCACACACUUCCACGCACGGGGCGCGGCUCGCACGUGCACGCGCGACACACGCGAGUGCUAACGUCACGAUGACCUCAGUGACCCGGGCUUGAACCGACCGGACCUGAUUCGCGUUGACUGACCUGACCCGAUCAACCGGUUGGACCAGACGGUCGAGCCAAGAACCAGUCGGACCGUGACCGGUCUUUGACCUGUCUCUUCGCCCCGCGCGUGAGCUCCACGCGCCACGCACUUAGGCAACGUGUGAAAGCUUCGAUGGGCGUGUGGCUAGCGGCGUUGGAUUUGUAUGACCAUUCUUUAUGUUGUGGUGUAUUUAUUUUACAUGUUUGAUAGUUUUAUGGAUAUGAAAAUACAAGCGGAACCCUAAAUAGGUGUAUUUUUAGUGUAUUUAUCUAUGAUCUUAGAAAUACAAGUGUUGGGUUACUGGUAUGUUAUCACAUGAACAUUGUAAAAGUGUUAUUCAUUAAUAAUAUACAAUAAAUUUUUAUUUUUAUUAAUGAAUAAGAUAGUGUAAUUAGCAUGAUAUGUGAUUUCAGUGAUAUGUUGACCAUAUCACUAAAGUUAAUAUCACAUGUAUAUGAUGUAUGUGAGAUGUAAAAUUUAUAUCCCUGAUAUGAGAGAGUUUCAAUGAUUCAUUUGAAUUGUGAUCGCCAAAGUGGCACACUUGAUUGGAUUUGAGAAAUUUCAAUCUCGUAUAAUAAUUGGGAUGUCUCAUGGUCUAAUGCCUAGUCAUACUUCCAAAGGAGAUGAUUAUGUAUUAAUUCAAGGAGGGAUACAUGAUGGUGUGGUAGAGGAGUGACUGAUCCUAGUGUUCAUAUGCCCAAAGGUGAUGAAUUCACGAAAAUUGGAAUACAUUCUCAUAAUCAUUAUAAUGUGGGAAGUGUACAAUUGCAUGCCAUGUAUUCUGUCCAAAGGUGAUUGUGUGAUUUUGCAUGUAAUUUUCUGGAUGUGUACUUGUACGUCAAGUUACACAAUACUCACAUGAUGUUAAUUAUAUACACUACUUGUCUUUUAGUCACAUUUUCUGUAAACGGUAACUCCCUCACUAUUAAGGUUCUUGCUGGUUCAAAUUUUAAGAGAUGGAGAGAAUAUUUUAUGUUUGCUAUGGAGAUGGCAGAUGUUCAUAUGGCUCUUACUGCCGAUCAGCCGGCAGAUAUUACUACCAAGAGUACAGAAGCUCAGAAAGCACAUUUUGCUACUUGGGAAAAAAGUAAUAGAAUUUACUUGCUAUUCAUGAAACGUUCCAUUCAAGAAUACUUGAAAAGUGGUUUGCCUGUAGACUGCACUGCUAGACAAAUGAUGGAAGCCGUGUCUCGUCUAAUGCUAAAAUAGGAACACACAUGCAAACACUAUUUAUUAUGAAGUAUGAUGGUUCUUGUGGAGUUAGAGAUUAUGUUCUAAGGAUAGUAGAUUUGCAGAGAAAGCUUCAGACUCUCAAUGUUGAUAUUCCCACUACCUGCAUUGUGCAUCAAGCUCUAAAUACUUUUCCUCCUGAUUUUGGGAUUAUCAAGAUCAAUUAUAAUUUUCAAGAUGAAACCUAGUCAGUUAAUGACCUGAUUGCAAGGGUGGUGGCAGAGGAAGACAAAUUGAAGAAAGAUAAAGGGCACAUUGCUCUUUAUUCUUUUAGUUCUGGUAGUGAUAAAGGUAAGAAGUUGAAAAACCAUACCCACAAGGGCAAUUCUGAAGCUGCUAGUACUUCCAACAAUAAAAGAAAUUUUGAAGGUGCUGGUUCUUCUAACAGUUUGGGUCCUAAGAAAGCAUUCUCCAAGAAAGAUGGUGUUCUUUGCUACUUUUGCAGGGAGAGAGGACAUGUAAAGAAAUGCUGCAACAAAUAUAAAGCUUAUUCCAUUAAUUCAUCUCAUAUGAAAUAACACGUCAAUGGUUCAUACAUAGUUCAAUCUUUUGUUCAAUUUCAAACCAUGGUCACAACAUAGUGCUUGGUGACAAGAUCAAGAUUCUCCCCUUGUAAGGUAUCCACCUACAAAGCCAGUGACUCGGCCUAAAAAGAUAUCCUAAACCCAAUAUGCAUACCCACAAGCCCCUCGCUAGGCUCACAGAGAUAUUAAGCACUAAACCCACAUCCUCCAAUAUCCAGAAACUUAAUCCAUAAUCAAUCUCGUGAUCCACCAUAAAUUUAACAAACCAAUCAUAUAACCUUUCAUAACUCGAUUUCCUCAAUAGAAAUACUUUCUCGCAAAGCAUCUCAUAUCAUUUCAUAAAACAAAUUCACAAUCAAAACAAUAAUCUAUAUCAUAAAUCAGUUUCACAAAUCGAAUCGAAUCAAUUUUUGCAACUCAAUUUAUUAAAUAGAUUGUGUUUCUCAAAGCUUUUCACAAAUUUAUAUCCAUAUAUUUUGGCAAUUCCUUCGCAAAGCAUUUAAUCAAGGUGUUUACAAAUAAUCAUUCCAACUUAUUUCAAAUAAUGCAUUUUUUAAUUCCUCACAAACCAAAACUUAUAACAUGUAACAAAAGAAUUCUUUUUAUAAAGAAUUUCCUUCAUCCGUUGCACAAUAAUAAACUCAUAAGCCAUUUCCAAAAAUGCUUUGCCAUGCCAUUUCAAAAUCAACAAGGUAGUAAAUGCUCGAUCCGAAUUUAUGCAACAAUUAUGCUUUAAACAUCACUUCUUCCAUUUUUAUAAAUAAAAUGUCAUGCCAUGUCUUUCAUACUUAUAUGAUACUCAAAUCGAUAUCACUUUUAAUUAAGACAUGAGUUUUCAAAUUCAAUGAAGAUAUAGCACCACUCACCUGAAUAUGCCCCAAAUCAAAUAAUAAAGCUCACUUGAAUCCACGUACUCGCAUUCCUAUUAUAUAAGAGAGAAAUAGCAUAAAAACCAAGUAAAAUACUAUCUCAACUAACGACUCGACUAAACUAUGCUUAUUCGUCAAUAAAAUGACACCUACAAGCUAAAAAAAAUCACAUAUCCAAAGCAAUUAUUCAAGCGGUCCGCAAUGCAGACCUUUGAGCGCGACACUUGGUCACACUAUAACUCUUUCCGCCGAACCCCGUUCCGAACGUAUUUAUAAUCAAUAGGAAGCUCUUUCAACGUGUCAUAAGAAUCCCAACUUGACCGACCCAAAAUCAAGCCAAAAAUUGACAAAAUAUGGGCGUGAAGUUGUUGGACGCACAUUAUUCACUACACGCGGGAAACUUCAAAAUUUUGUUUUAGGCAAAUCCUAAGCUCAAAUCGAGACCCGUAAAAUCCUAUAGUUCCAUGACCCCUAAGCUAUCAUUUCUAUAAAAAUACGCGGCUCAACAAUUCAAAAAUUGGACUUCACCGCUCAAUUCUCCCAAAAUUCUGAAUUUCAAAUCCUAAGUCCAAAACUACUCUGGUUGGAAGAAUGAGAGCCACGAUUACUUACCAGGUAUUGUCGAUAAGCUUGGUGAGGCACCCGUGACAUGAACACACAAAGUUGUCUCUCCUCCUCCAUCUUCCUCCUCCUUUCUUCUUUUCUCCUCUUUUCUUCUGCCCGAAUAUGUCCUAUCUUUUCCUCUCUUUUUUAUCGCUUCCCCUUUUUUUCCUUUUUAUUUCUUUAUUAAAAGUGGGUCCCACCACCUUCUCUUUGACCUAGUAAAAAAUCUCAAAUAUUACAAAGCCAUCGAGGCAAUAAGCUGGAGAUGGAUUGACCAAAAAAAAUAGCUGGAGAUGGAGAUACGACAAACCGGCCAGAGUGCGAGGACAUCUCUGAAGAUGAACAGGUCAAUGACAAUUCUUCCACCCGAGAGCUCCCUUGAAAGGAUUAUGCCCUAUGAGAAGCAAUUCCAGACCAGCACAAUAGAAGCAAUCAAGAAAGUUAUACGCUAGGCGACAAGCAAACUCCUCUUCCUACCCAAGUUUUGCAUGACAUUGAGAAGCCCUCUGAUCUCUUCAAAAUCUAUCAUCACACCUUAAGACUCCUAAUUUUAUUAGUACUUGGUGAUAAAUGUGCCAUUUUUCACGCUCAAUAAGAAAACCAUGUAGCCUAAAAUGAAAAGAAAAACUGUGUUCUCAGUUCUCUCAGACUCGGUUGACCAAGAUCAUCAUCCCUUUGAAGCAUAAGUCUUUAUUUAAUGCAAGCAUAUUGCUUGUACGAUUUGUUUUGAAAUUACAAAUGAACUAUUAGCAUCGGGUACAAAAUUCCUUGCGGAUCUCUUCUGUUCCGUCCUAAUGGCGUCAAAACCCUAAAUUAGCCUAAAGAACGUGGAGUAUCUCCUUCAGGAACAAUAAUCUUAAAGGAUGAGAUCUGCCUUGGUUUCCGUUUAUUGAAUGAGUUUAUGUGAGGAUCGGUUUGGUCCUUAAUUCAGCUCUUAGAUACAUAAUAUCGCCUGGAUUGAAAUGUUGUCCUGCGAUGCUUCAUAUGAAGUUUUUUCCCGUUUAUUGAAUGAGUAUAUGUGGGAAUUGGUUUGGUCCUCAAUUCAGCUCUCAGAUACAUAAUUUCGCUUGGAUUAAAAUGUUGUCUUGCGAUGCUUCAUAUGGAGUUUUUUCAGUCCACAACACGAACGCCCAUCAGACCAACAUGGUUUCAUUCAAUCCCUUCGAAAGCAAAGUCGUGUUCUUUUCUCUCUUGUGCCCCUUGGAAGAGAAAGACAACGAAGGUCAACGUCCUUAUAAUAUAUUCCUAGUAAUGUACGAACCGGUGCACAUAAUUUAUUCUCAAUAGGUAAGAUCUCUCCAGCAAGAAGAGUACCCGUCUUCACUGAAUCUCUAGUCCGUUCAAACCCCACCCCCCCCCCCCCCCAAAUAAAAAAGGACCAAAAAUUAGAAUCUUUGCAUACCAGCCCCAAAAUGAGCUUACACUUCCAUUAGCUCGUAGAUGCAAGAAAAUGAAAAGAAACAGUAUGUAGAGUUUAAAUUGUAAUCUAAAUGGCCAUAGCUACUGGUUAAUAUGUGAACUGCCCACAUGGAACAUUCUUUAUUUUUUCGUUGGAGAAGUAAGAUGCAACUGAGGUUGUUAGGGGUCUCAUUGUUUUAAUCGAAGUUUUUCAAUGUCCUUAAAAGACAAAUGUAUGUCCGUCCUUUCAAAUAACAACUUAAGUUUCAGGUUGAGAAUACCUUAUUGAGAUCAUUUCAGCCAAAGUUUAAAUUCUGAAUGACACUGCCACAAUUAGAUUCUCAUGGCAUUCUAUGUUUUGAUGUUAUGUGUUAUUGAUCUCAACAAAGUGUAAAUUUCCAAGACUAUGUUUUCCAACUUCCUUUCUUCUUGUCCUCACAAUUACUGUCAUCCAAUGCCUAUCUUUUGACGAAAGAGAGGGAGGAAAAAAAAGAGAGGGAAAGACAGUAUUCUACAAUGAUUUUUUUGUCUCAUUUGGGCAGUACCAUUUAAAAUGUCCAAAUGAAGGAUCUUUUUUCAGAAUGAGAAUCAUAGUUAAAGUUGCAACAGUUGCUGACCAAACCAAAGAGCGUUAUUGAUCAAAGCAUUUGACGCAAGAGUAAUAGCGGGUGCUCAUCCAAAUUGAAAUAAUAAGAUGACACUCAACCCAGACUCUGCAUCCAAGGAAUCUCCCCUCGUACGUGCCAUUCCAAUCGAGCUCUUUCAGAGGAAUAUUUCCCUAUUUUCCUCAGCGUUUCGGUAUGGAAAUUUAACUGCUAGCUCACUCUCUCCUCUCAGCGAGUCGGUUUCGUUAUAUUAAGUGAAUCCGCAUUAUCCUCGAUGGAUGCACAUUGUGAUUUAUAGGACUUCACUCAUCAAAAUGCUUUUCGCUGCACCGAUUUUAUGGAGUGCGGAAUGUUCCUUUCAAUCCAAUAAUCUGAUAGUAAAUUUUUCUUAUCUAUCCUCUCCUCUCAUUCAUUAAGUUAGUAAACCGAUACCUUUCACACUCGCGAACUCCAAUGGAAGUUGUCCAGGACAACCCUUCGUCUUGCUUACCAAAGUAGACUCCUGGAGUCCUGGAGUAAUUUACAGAGAUUCAACCACGUCCCCCAAAAAUGUCUAGUAGAAACACAUUCUCUGGUGACUGGAUGGAUCACAAAGAAGAUGACGAGAUCUUUGGAAUACUUCCUUUGGUAAUCUUUUGACUAUCAUUCCCAGCUUUAAGUACAUAAUAUUUGCCCUAGCAGCGGAAGACAAGAGUGAAGGUGUUCGCUCUGGCUCACCGCUUCUUAGGCACUACAAAGUCCGUCAUUUCUAUGGCUUUUCAUUGCAUUAUUAUAAGAGAAUGUUGUUUCGUUAUGGGUGAUACAUUUGCUUUAUAAUCAUUAUUAUGUUGGCACUCAAAGACGGGACUGUCGAGCAAUUCAGAUGCUGGAAAUCACUGCAUAUCAUCUUACCGUCCUGAACCCUCAUUAACAAGGAAGACAAUGGCCAGCGUGCUCAUCAAGGAAUUCUUUGAGAAGCAUCAGAGCUAUCGUAUAUUACUCAGUUUCUGAAACCAAUGUUCCAAUGUUCCGGAAAUGCUAAAAGAACAAUUGCAUGGACAAGUCAUAUCCAACGAGAAGUCCCCAAGCUCAGGACCUGUUUCACAAGACACCUCCAGACAAUGCUCGAAGCAAAAGCUUGAUGGUCUUGGAUACUAAUCGCCCAUGCACGCCAGACUAGCCACCAUGUUGGGCAACAAGGUCGGUCCAGAUGCCGCACAUGGGAGUAGACUCUCAAACUCAAUAUUUGGCAUCGAUAGCGGACCAGCAACAAGCAACAGCAGUCUGAACGUAUUUGUCAAUGGCACAGGCAUUUUGUGCUUUCGGUCAAAAAUAGCACCGGUGAUCUUUUCGAGUAACAGGACUAGAUAUUUGGAGCUCUGCUCCAGUCAGAAUGGGUUUCUGCACGAUAACCUUCUCGAGCAUUAAUUACAAGUUGGCUGCUCAGAUGAUUUCUAAGACUGGUCAACUUUGCGGAUGCCAUUAAAGCUAGCAUCUUGCCCCCUCUGUCGAGUGAAAUAGCCACUAGUCUGCUCCUAACCAAGAGCACCUCCCACCGUAGUAGAUUAUACUUACUCUUAAGUAAAAAAUCUAUAAUUCAUACGCAGAUCAAUUCUUUACUCGAUUAAUUCAAGUGGGGAAGAUAGAAAUAGAAAGAGAAAUGUUUGAAGGGGUAGAAACGGGGGAUAAUACAAACCAUGAAAUCCAGAAACAAGAUAUAGUUAUCGUAGAUCCAGAAAGAGGAAAUAGAUUAAGCAUAUGUCAUCACAAGGUUCGGAGGUACUUUAAACAUCAACCGAGCAGGAUGAUGUAGCAAUGGCUAUUCGUCUGAUGUCCACUGCCGUCGGAAGAUGAUUCAUCCUCAACGGGAUCCUCUAUGGCUUCAUCAGUCUGGGGGCACAUGUAUUAAUGUUUGUUAGUCAUUGCAACGUGGGCCCAAAAGACCAGAAAGCAGUUGAGAAAGGAAGUGGGAGAGGGGUUUCUCUGUAGUUGUCAAGCAAUUGAUCCCCAAGGACCUUUCUCGUACGCAUACCCAAUCUCAUCGUGUACCACGACUAUUCAUGAAAAAUCUAUAUAAAUAUUGUGGUGCACUUUGACAGAGCUUACAGAAACCGGAAUUGAGGCCAAUUCGCUUGUUGACACCUACGCCCAUCUUUAUUUCUGUCCAAUAUUUGUGCUCCCAAAAGAUCAGCCCUCGUAGAUUUCACAAGGUUCUAGAGAAAGCUAAAUUUUUGCACUCAGAAAAAGCCUUUUUGGAAAAUCGGUGUGAGAAACAUCUUUUAAAUGUGCAAAGAGUGCCCUGGCCACAAAAAGAGAGAGAGAGAGGACUAUCGCCAUUGUUAUUCAUGCAAAUUUAAGGGAGUAUUUUCUUUUUCUAAUUUUUGAACAUUGCCAAAACAAUUAAGGUCUAAUAAUAACAUGACCAUUAUGCUACACUUUCAAGUUGUAGUAUAAUCCAUUCAUCAGUGUGUAUCACGGGCCUACUGCUAGUUUCUAAGCAGUUAUGUGGCAGGACUCUUCCUAUAAAAGUUAAGGAAAAAUGAACUUCCCGUGGUGGGGGAGGAUCGAUCCUUAGACAGGACCAGGGAAGAUGGAAAGGAUAAAAGAAAAAAGAAAUAGUAGGUGACUUACCAA